UUACUAUCUCUAGCUAACAAACAAGAUUGGAUGAAAACCUAGGUAAAGAGUUGGUAAACAUCUCUCGAUCAUAAACCAACACAAAGAGUUAUCAAUAAAACAAAGUUUUCACCAUAUAUUCAUCAUUAAAGAGUUUACAAAUGAAGAUCAUCCCAUUUACACACAAAGCUAAUGAUCAUCUACAUCUAACCUUGACAAAAUGAAGAACUUAGCCACUCAUUUUCAUGGUGGCUUGCACAACAAGUCUCGGUUGAAGGUUGAUCAACAUCCACGUCGAAGAAUCAAGAUUGGAUGGGAAUCCACCUUCUUUUUGUAGAAUAAUGUUAAGAGAUGAAGAAAAAUGGGUUUCUAGGUUACAAAAUAUCUCUAGAGCAAUGCUGGAAAAUAUCUAAGAAAAUGCUAAGUAAAAGUACAAAGUAUAAAAGUAUGGUUCCAAAAAGUAGCCCCUGCUACUUAUACUACUGCUGUCUGAGCUGUCAUGCUCGCUAGGCGACCAGAAUGGUUCGCCUAGCGAGCCCCAAAAUAGGCACCAGAGGCACCUGCGCUAGAAGAAUCUUCCAAGUCCAAACUGCAUGUUUGCUAGUCAAACAAAACCUUCGUUAGGCGAAGCCCACGCUUCCACCUUCGCUCCAGCGAGUUUAGGUGGUUUUGCUACUGGAAUUGUUUGCUGGGAGCUCGCUAGUGGCUCGCCUAGCGAGCAAGUGAUGGCUGUGCUUUUGACCAAGUCUGGGCGUGUUCGUUACCUCCUUCGCUGGGUGCUGACCUAGCGAGUUUGCUAACUUUGCUACUGUAAAAUUCUGGGGACGCUCGCUAGCUGCUCGCCUAGCGAGCACCCAACGAAAGCACUCGCCUAGCGAGCAUGCUGGUGAAUGCAUUCUUCUCUUGGUCCCUUUGCCAACUUUCUUGUGCCUUCAUUUUCUAUUAUUUCAUGCCUAAUUCCUGCACAACAACGCACAAAUUAAAGGUACCAAGAUCGUUUAACAUUGUAUUGCAAUUCAUCUAAAGCAAAGGCGGUUUUGAACACUUUAGCAACAAAAAGGAGUGAAAGAUGCCCACAUUUGAUAGCUCAAAUAAGCACUUUUGGGCAUCUAACACAUGACUGCCUUCAAAUAGUUUGUAAUGAACUGACAAGGGAGGUUUUCUUCUUCUAGGGAUAUCACUUGUGCUCAGAAUUCCAGGUUGCUGGCUCAGGAUUAUCCCACAAAUUAUUGAGGGAAAAGUUAUGGUCAACUUCACUGCAUUUGUAGAGGCAUGUUUGAAAAUUUGUUCAAACAUGAAUCUACCAUAAUCAAAAUUAAGCUUGCUUCCAAUAGCAAAUAUGAGCCUUCCAAGAGCAUUUGAGAUUGUAGAGAUGUGAUUUGUUGGUACCCAGUUUGCUGACCCUAUCUUGUGCAAGAGAGCAUAUUUCAUAGUUAAUUUUCCAGCAGAAAGAUGUUUCUUGCUUGGCCACUCCUUGACAUGUCUAGCAGUUAUUUCCCUACAAACCUCAUUGUAUGUAGCCUCUAGUUCACCAACACCUUCUAUUCCUUUUUCCUAGGAACUUACUAAUCACAGUUGGAGAGAACUUCACACACUUUCCUCUAACAAACACCAUACAAAACUCUUUGUUGUUCUUGUCAGCAAUAUCCUCAGGGAUGUUCACCACAAAUUCUUUAACAAGACCUUCAAAAUACUGAGAUAACCCACUAAUAGUCUUCAUUAAUUUAGCAGACUUAAUCAGGUCCAUGACCUCCUUAACCUCCACAACAUCCUUUCCCAGUUCUCUUUCCACAACCACUCUUCUUUGGAUUACAAAUUUCCACUUUAUUGCACCAUCUUCAAGAUGGAAGGAAAUAUUAUCCAGGUGUACAGCAACAACCUUUGCAGGGGAUUUUUCAACAGUUGACCUUUUGACAGGAGAGAUGUCAGGGACAUCAUCUUCAACAUCUUCCUCUGAAUCAGAACUAUCUCUUACCUUUCUCUUUUUUACCUCCACUUUACUCCAAGACUUUGAAGGGCCUACAACAGUAGCCUUCUUACCAGUUUUGGCUAUCAUCAUCUCAGCCACAAACCUACCCUUUAUGGUCUUCAUCCUCUUUGUAACACUUGGCUUCAAGUGAUGAAGUAAGUUGUCAUCUUCAUCAUCUGAGCCUUCUUCUUCCAAGUCAAUCACCUUUUUAGCAGAGUCAUGCUUCUUAGACUGAGAAGCAUAUAUAGAUUUCUUACUAGGCAAGGUUUUCCCUAAAGAGCAUAGUCCCUCAGCAGCUAUAUCUUUUUCAAACCUAGAUAACUCAUCAUCUUUAUCAUUGUGAGGUUCAACCUCAAGAGAGGGGUCCCUUCUCGAUAGAGGAGUAUAAACUCCCUUUACUGAGUGUCCUUCAUUAAGGAUCCUCGUGACAAGAUUUCUAAUGAUACUAUCAGUAUGAUGCAUGUCAUCCUUAGAGGUAGGGUUAUCAGAACUGUUACCUUGAGUAUGUCCUGCAGUGGAGGAUGGACCAGGAGCGUCUCCUGGGAUGACUGAUAGGGGAAUCACUUCCAAAAAUGUUCUUCAUUAAGAAAAUCAUAGAGGGGUUCUAGCGUUGUGCGCAGGUUUGAUGCUUUUAGAACUAGAAGGUGAAGGAUGUUGUGACAUCUUGUUGAGCUUGUCAAAUGAUUUAUUGUGCCCUAGAAGAGAAGUGGUUGAUGAAGUUUGAGGAAGGUGGAAAAUUUGAGCCGAGGUUGCGUGUGAAAAUGCUAUAGAUAGAAGUUCCAAUACUAGGUAAUGAUUACCAUAAAUGGGCACGUUCUUUAAAAGUGGACAGACAAUUAGUUUUUAUUACCUUGUUCCUACUCCAAAUUAAUUGCUAUAAAUUCUCAUGGAUACAAAUCCCUAAUUUCCAUCUUAAACAUUCAAAUUGAUUAGCAUCCAAAGCCUUUGUAAAUAUGUCAGCUAAUUGCAUUUCAGUACGUAGUAACAUACUUCAGGGCUAUGAUUUUCUCUUCCACUAGUUCUCUAAUAAAGUGAUGACGAAUAUCAAUGUGUUUUAUCCUGCUGUGCUGAAUAAGAUUCUUAGAAAUAUUUAUAGCACUUAGGUUGUCAUAAUAUAAUGUCAUGACAUCUUGCGUGACAUUGUAUUCAGUCAGCAUCUGUUUCAUCAAAACUAGUUGAGAACAACUACUUCCAGCUGCUAUGUAUUCAGCUUCAACAGUGGAAAGGGACACACAAUUUUGUUUCUACUAAACCAUGAUAUUAAGUUGUUCCCCAAGAAGAAACAUCCUCCUGAUGUGCUUUUCCUAUCAUCAGCACUUCCAGCCCAGUCAGCAUUACAGUAUCCAGUCAACAUAGAUCCAUAUCCAUGAUUAUACAACAUUCCAUAGUCACUAGUGCCAUUGACAUAUUCUAGUAUCCUUUUCACUUGGUUUAUGUGACUGAUUUUUGGUUCAGCUUGAUAUCUAGCACAAACACCUACAGCAAAAGAAAUGUCAGGUCUGCUUGCUGUGAGAUAUAGCAGACUUCCUAUCAUGCUUCUGUAGAGACUGAGAUCUACACUAACACCAUUUUCAUCUUUGGAAACUUUCAGAUGUGUAGGAGCAGGUGUCCUUUUAUGACUUGCAUUCUCCAUGCCAAACUUCUUCACAAUGUUUUUGGCAUAUUUGCUUUGAGAUAGAAAUAUAGAAUCUUAUAUCUGCUUGACUUGUAGCCCAAGAAAAUAGGUCAGCUCUCCAACAAGGCUCAUUUCAAAUUCAGACUGCAUUUGUUUAACAAAAUGUUCGACCAUCUGAUCUGACAUCCCACCAAACACAAUAUCAUAGACUUGUAGCCCAAGAAAAUAGGUCAGCUCUCCAACAAGGCUCAUUUCAAAUUCAGACUGCAUUUGUUUAACAAAAUGUUCGACCAUCUGAUCUGACAUCCCACCAAACACAAUAUCAUCCACAUAAUUUGAGCCACCAUGAGUUUUCCUCCUUCAUUCUUACCAAAUAGGGUCUUGUCAAUGCCUCCAUUCUUGUAUCCAUUGUUAGUGAGGAGCAUUGUAAGUCUAUCAUACCAAGCCCUAUGAGCUUGUUUCAAACCAUAGAGGGCUUUCCUCAACUUGUACACAUGCUUUGGAAGAUCCAGAUCUAUAAAUCCUUUAGGUUGUUCAACAUAUACUUCCUCAUUUAAGUAGCCGUUCAAGAAGGCACUUUUCACAUCCAUUUGAAACAGUUUAAACUUCAGAAUACAUGUUACUCCAAGUAAUAGUCUAAUGGACUCAAGGAGAGCUAUAGGGGCAAAUGUUUCAUCAAAGUCAACUCCUUCAACUUGAGUGUAUCCCUGUGCUACUAAUCUUGCUUUAUUUUUAGUAAUCACCCAUUGAUCAUCAGAUUUAUUCUUGUACACCCACUUUGUUCCAAUGACAUUUAUUCCUUCAGGUCUUGGAACCAGUUCCCAUACCUCAUUUCUCUUGAAUUGGCCUAACUCUUCCUGCAUGGCAUUGAUCCAGAACUCAUCAGUCAAGGCUUCCUUGACAUUCCUAGGCUCAAUCUUGGACACAAAACAGCCAUGUGAGAUCACUUCCCUUGAUCCUGCAUGGCAUUGAUCCAGAACUCAUCAGUCAAGGCUUCCUUGACAUUCCUAGGCUCAAUCUUGGACACAAAACAGCCAUGUGAGAUCACUUCCCUUGAUCUAGUUGUGACCCCUUUAUUUGGGUUUCCUAUAAUGAAAUCUUUAGGAUGAUCCUUCUGAAUUCUGAUAGAGGGUCCCUUAUUAAUUUUGUCUGCUUCAGGUUCAGCUUGAGUGAGUUCACUCUCAUUACUUCUGUCUGGGAAAUCAAUUGGGGAAUCAUUUAGGGAUGUCUCAACAUCGUAUGUGACAUCAGUCUGCUGAUCAUCAACCACAACAUUGAUAGAUUCCAUCAUUACUUUUGUUCUGGAAUUAAGGACUCUAAAUGUUCUGUUGUUUGUUAAGUAGCCCAAAAAUAUUCCUUCAUCACUCUUCAAGUUGGUAAUUCCUCUAACAUCUUCAACAAAUAUAAUCCUCUUGAUUCCUUUAAGGUGCAGAUGGCCCAAUCUUUGAUGCCAUAUCUUCACUUCUUCUUCUUUGGCUAGAGUACACAUUGAUGAAUAACCAGUUUCUUUAGAACUCCACAUAUAUCAGUUGUCCUUAGACCUGACUCCUUUCAUGAUCACUUCAUUUUAUUUAUUAGUAAUCAGACAUUCAGUCUUUGUGAACUUUACAGUUAGACCUUGGUCACAUAGUUGACUGAUGCUUGUUAGGUUUGCAGUCAGUCCCUUAACAAGGAGGACAUUGUCAAGGUUAGGGACUCCAAGGCAGUUAAGCUUACCAAUCCCUGUGAUUUCACCCUUUGCUCCAUCACCAAAGGUUUCAUAGCUGGUGGCAUGAGGAUGAAGGCCAGUUAGCAGGUUUUUGAUUCCAGUCAUGUGUCUGGAGCACCCAUUGUCAAAAUACCAGUCUUUUUUGGCUGAAACUUUGAAGGAAAUGUGAGCUAUCAGGUUUGUAACACCAGUUCUAGGAACCCAUUGUUUUUUGUUGACAGGUAUGUGAUGUUUGGGUCUAGGUUGAUUAUGAGAAGGACUAGGAUAGCCAUACAACUUAUAGCAGAAUGGUUUUAUGUGGCCAAAUUUUCCACAAUAAUGUCAUUUCCAUCUUUGAUGUUUCCCUUUCUGCUAUCUUCCUUUAUGAUGUUGUGACAUAUGAUGUGACAUCUUUGGUUUGCUACCAGUGUCACUGCACUCAGGUUUGGAUUUUGGUUUACUACCAGUGUGACUGCACUCAGGUUUGAAUUCAUUGAACCCAAUGCUAGACUUGUCUCCUGCCAUUUGUCCAGUUUGGAGAAUUUUGUCUAAGGUGUCAGAUCCAUUGUUUAGCAUUAUGACAUACUUUGUCAUCUCAUCCAGUGUGGAAUUCAAGAACACUGCUUCAGUCUUUAACUUAGAGAUGGUUUCCAAGUGUUCUACCUUUUCAUUCUCCAGUUGUGUUAUCACUUUCUUCUGACUUUCAACUUGUUGACACACUUCUUCACUUAUGUGACACAACUUUCUGUAGAUAGUGGCUAACUCAUCAAAGGUUACUUCAUCAUCACUUGAGUCUUCAUCAGAACCCCAUCUUCCAGUCAAGACAAUCACAAGAUUUGCAGACUCUUCUGUUUCACUUUCAUCAGACCAAGUAGCAGCAAGACUAUUCUUCUGUUUCUUGAGGUAGGUUCCACAUUCAGCUCUAAUGUGUCCAUACCCAUCACAUUCAUGGCAUUGAACUCCUUUUCCUUCUUUGGACUUUUCAUCAGAUCUUGUUCUUCUUCCUGCAUUGUUGGACUUACUGAUGUCAGAUGAGAUGUUCUUGACAUUAGACUUAGACCUUACAUCCAUCUUUUUCAGAAGUUUGUUGAACUGUCUUCCUAGUAAUGCUACGUCAUUCGCCAGAUCUUCAUCAGUAUCUUGACCACUUUCUUUCUCUUUCUCUUCAGUGUUUGACAUGAAGGCUAUGCUUUUGACUUUCUUUUCAAAUCCAUCACACAUUCCCAUCGCAAAUGUUUGGAGGGAUCCAAUUAGCUCAUCAACUCUCAUAUUGGAAAUGUCUUGAGACUCUUCUAUGGCUGUCACUUUCAUGGCAAAUCUCUUAGGAAGUGACCUGAGUAUUUUCCUUGCUAAUUUUUCAUCUGACAUCUUCUCACCCAGGGCUCCUGAGGCAUUAACAAUUUCAGGGAUAUUCAUAUGAAAUUCAUGAAUAUUUUUAUCUUCUUUCAUCCUUAAAUUUUCAAACUUGGUAGUGAGCAGCUAAAGUCUAUACAUCUUCACUAUAGAGGUGCCUUCAUGAGUGGUUUUGAGGAUGUUCCAAGCAUCUUUAGCCACCUCACAGUUGUUUACCAAUCUGAAGAUGUUAUUAUCUACUCUAUUGAAUAUAGCAUUAAUGCUUUAGAGUUCCAAAGGGCUAGAUCAUCCUCCUCCUUGGUCCAUUGUUCCUCAGCCCUCUUAUCAGUUGUAGUUUCUCCUUCCUUAGUAAUAACUAGAUGUUCCCAGCCUGUUAAAAUAGCCUUACAAGCCUUAUUAUCCAAAGAUUUUAGGAAGGCUACCUGUCACACCCCAAUUUUGAUCCUGAAUCGCUGGUUCAAUACAUUCAUCAUAGUUAUUGCAUCUCUACAUAUCAUACCAUGCAUUCCAUACCGCAUAGUGCCUAGAAUAUCAAUCGAAAUAUUUUUUUUGGAUCUACAAGAAAACUGGUUGAAUUAAUCGACGGAUGUGAGUCAAAUCAGUGGACGAAAUUUUUUAAAAUCAAGCUUCCAGACAUCAACUUUAUUAAUCUACGUUUCGCAUAGUUUAAUCUGGUAUGCUCGAUUUAUUUUUCAGCUAAUUUUUCUGCCACUUUUUGAUCAGCUCGAGCCUGUUUAACCGGACAAAAUUUACUUCAAAAUUAGAUCAAACGCUGUAUAUUUCCGAGAGUUUUAUUUUGUGCUGAUCAUUUUCGUGCAUUCAAUUUAAUUUUUCAAGCACUUUUGUGCUCGACUUUAUUUUAUUUUUGAGUCAUUUUAUUUUUAUUUUUAUUUUUGUCAAAAUAAUUGAAAUAUUUAAAUAGGAUUAGUUGUGGUUUUUUUUCAAUUUUAUUGUAUUUAUAUUUUAGUGUUUUAUUUUUAUUUAAUUUAUUUAGUUUUCAAUUAAUUUGGUUUCCUAGAUAAAUAUCCAAGGGUAUUUGUGGUAUUUGCAUUAACUUGUAACCCUAAGGACUACUAUAUAUUUGAACUUAUGCAUGACCAUGAAGGAUAGCCAAUAGUACACAGGCGGCCACCCCCAUUAUGCCAACGUCUCUCAUAUGUUUAGGGGAGAAAACCUCAUUUGCUACCAUUUUUUUAUGAAUGUCAUGUACCUUAUCCUCUCUUCAUAUUCAGAGAAGAAAGUCACUUAACUCACUCCAUUUCCUCUUAUUAAUCACAAACCCCUCACAAACUAUAUAGCAUUCAUCUUCCAUGUAAAAAAAACCAUGAAGAAAACCAAGAUCCAAACAUCACUCUUCCACAAACUUCCAUUCUAACACUCACACCAUUGAAAACCAACAACACACUCAUGCUUCCAUUCAUCACCUUCAUCAUGAAACUCAUUAAAUCAUAACACCUCAUUCUCAUCUUUUAUUAUUCUUCAUUCUCACAACCUUCAUAAACAUAACCUCUUCAAAUGGUAAAAAAAUCCUCUCCAUUCAAACCAAAGAUAAACAUGAAGACAUCAUCAUUUCUACAUUCUUAAGAUUUCCUUCUACACUCCCUCCACCAUGAAUAACUCAAAAAUAUUUCCAAUAGAUCUAACCUCCAUAAUAGAAAAAGCCUUCUAAUCACCUUGUUAUAACUCAACACCAUUGGCCACCAAACUCUACACUCCGUCGUACCCCUCCAUCGUCAGACCACACACCGAUCAUCUUUUCGGUACCCCUUUAAUCACUUUCUCUUGUUUGUUAAAAUAUUGCCAUGAAUUCUUUUUAUUCUAGAUCUAAAAUUUGUGUUUGAGUUUUGUUAACUUGUGUUUGAGAGUCUUUGUUAGUCUUUAUGAUUUGAAAACACCCAUGAGGAAGAAAAGAGACAUAUUUGACUUUGUUUAUUGUUUUGUUUAAUUGUUGGUGUUGUUCAUGAAACCUAUGAGAGGGUGAUGUUUUCCUGUACCAAGGCCAUGCGCGAGAGAGAGAGUUUGUUUACGAAAUGUUUUUCAUCAACUUUUUUUCCUACUGAUAUGAAAGAGAUAAAUUGAUGUUUUUUUUAUGUUUACUCACCCAUAACAUGUGUCACCGUCUCAAUAAUCUUUUUGAAUUUUUCUUUUUUUUAAAAAAGACCUGGGAUUUUAUUUCUAAAGAGGUGAGAUGCUGCCCCUAUCCCCUUUGUUCUCAUAUGUUAGUUAUUUUCCUUCUCUUCUCAUUAGUUUAUUUUUUAAAAUUUAAUAUAUAUAUAAAUUAAUUAGGCUUUCUUUAUUCUCUUUUUUAAAAAUAAAUAAUAAUAAUAAAAUAUAUAAUUUAAUUAGUAGACCAAAUCAUUUUUCACCUUUUAUUUAUUUCAUUAAAUUUCUACAUUUCUUAUGAUUUAGUUCAAUCAUUUUAGUAUUUAUUUAAUGGUUUAAAUCUUUACUUAAUCAGUUUAUUAAACCUUAUUUAAUUUAUUGCUUUACUUUAAUUACUAAUUGUUUGGUUAAAUAAUGUUUAGUCAAUUAAUUGUAAUUUUGUUACUCAUGUUCAUAUUCUCAUACAUGUAAAUAAUCAUGUUCCCCAUCUCACUGUCGAUUAAAUAAAUGUCAAAUCAUUUUCAAAAAAAUAUUUUUAUUUUCAAACUUUUUUUAUCUCACUUAUCUUAUUCAAACCAUUUUCUUAAAUAAAAUCUGAAGAAAAAGAUUACUCUGGAUGGAAUAUCCAGUCAUAAUCUCGAAUAUUAUACCCAAGUUGUAAGAGCUUGCAAGCCAUAAGUAUUCAUAUUCUCUUCAAAACACUCCAAUAUUCAAAUCUAUUUUUCUCAAUAAAAUCUGAAGAAAAAAAUUACCCUGGAUGAGAUAUCCAGUCGUAAUCCUGAAUAUUAGGGCCAAGUUGUAAGAGCUUGUAAGCCCUAUGUAUUCGUCUUCUCUUCAAAAAUAUUUGUAAAUAUUUAAACUUUUUUUUCUAAAUAAAAUUGAAAGAAAAAGAUUACCUGGGUGAAAGGUCCAGAUGUAAUCCCGAGUAUUAGACCCAAGUUGUAAGAGCUUGCAAGUCAUAAAUAUUCGUCUUUCAAGCCAAAAAUACGUUCAACCAAUCAAACUCUUUUUUUCGCCGCCAUGCGAUUGAUCUUAGAAAACCUUUUCAUAAAUGAAAGACAUGUUGUCUUAAGGUGAUGUAAAGCAAUGCUUCAACCAUAAUUGUUGAGUUGAGAUAAGUGACGUUUUCCGAAUGUUGAUUUGUAAAUUCAUUUUAUGUGUGGUAUACGUCCGCUCCUCAUUUGUUUUGGGUAAAAUGAUGUUUUUCAUCGAUUAAUACAAUAUAGCUUUUUCUAAAAUCGACCAAUAAACAAACAUUUUCUACGCAGAACUACGUAAGCCCUGAGUUCUCUAUUGAGAUACGUAGGAGCAGGAUUGCAAAAUCUUGUCAGGCCCAUUAAUAAAAAAUCUUGCCAGUCCCCUUUAUUACAAAAAUCCAAAAACAUCUUCUCUUUUCUUUUGAUCCUAUCUUUCUUUCCCACCUAAUAUAUUGAGAAGCCUAACAUUUCAAGCUAACAAUAACGCACACAAUUAACCUAAUGGUUCCCGUUGAGUACAACGGACGUAAGGGGUGUUAAUACCUUCCCCUUGCGUAGUCGAUUCCCGAACCCUGAUUUGGUUGUGACGACCAUAAUCAUUGUCGUUCUUUCUUGGGUUUUAUCGAUAUUUCCCCUUUCCUUUUUAGGGAUAAAUAAAGUUCGGUGGCGACUCUGUUUAGUCCAUCAUUGCGAGCGUGCGAAUGCGCUUCGCUAGGUCGUAUUCCCAUUUUCUGAGGUACGGCAGAUGGCGACUCUGCUGGGGAUAUAAUCCCUAAGUGAGUCAAGCCUAGUUAGGUCGUUUGUGUGCCUUUGUUUGUUUACUUGUGUGGAUUUUCUUUCUUGAUUUUGUUAUAUUUAUUGUCAUAUUGAUAUAAAUAUGUUGUAUUGGUUCCAUUAUGCUUUGAUACUUGGAUACUCUGAUUGCAAACCUUGUGGGAAAAACUUUUUACCCGAGUCUCGAGUAAAAACAUAAGAUAGGACGAGGUUGAGUAGUGCGGGUCUAUGAGAUGAAUUUCUCAUUGGGUCAGUGCGAGAACCUUACUUAAGAGUAGAUCUUUGGGAGGAUGUUGUCGCCCGGUAAGUAAGUUGUCGUAAGCUUCGAUAUUUUCUUUAGGAUCCAUGACUAUGAGGACCAUUUGUAGAACCUUGAUCCUUUGGACAACUAGGAAAGAUGGUUGUGUAAUGUGGGUCUACGAGAUGAAUUUCUCGUUGGAUCGAUGCGAGAACCUCACUUAGAGUAGAUUCUUUGGAUGGAGUUUAUGCUCGGCAAGUAAGUUGCCACAGGCAGCAAACAGUCUAAUGGAUCCAUGACUCUGGGAACCUUUGUAACCCUAGAUCGUACCCGGUGAGAACCUAUUCUUGGAAAGUAAUCAGAUUCAUCAGUACCUCAAACUUUUGAACCCGUGUAUUGAGGAAAAAAACAAAUAUGCAUGGCUUGCAUUGCAUUCAUUCAUAUUCCAUUGCAUCUGCAUCUCAUCAUAAUGCAUGUAAUUUUCCAGAAAAUACAAAAAAAACUCAUCCAUCCUUUGUCCAUGAUCAACAAAGUGAUUCCUGACACGUGUUUAGAACAAAGAACCAUGUCUCAAGAGAUGAUGGACGAGCUAAGGAAAAGUCAAAAAGCAUUGAAGGAGGAACUCAAUCUUUUGAAGAGCCAAAUGGGAUGGGUCGUGGAAACCCUAUGUCUCAAGAGAUGAUGGACGAGCUAAGGAAAAGUCAAAAAGCAUUGAAGGAGGAACUCAAUCUUUUGAAGAGCCAAAUGGGAUGGGUCGUGGAAACCCUACAAGCCGUAUUGAGAAAAGAGGGUCAUCCCAUACCCAUUGCGGUAACGGAGGGAGUUUCUACUCCACAUCCAUCAAGGGAAAUUCUAUGUGACAACUCCUCAUCUACCGGCAUAUGACCCUCCCUCAGGAUGUCAUCAUCAACAUCAUUUGGUUGUUCCUCCUCAAAAUCAUCGAAGUCAGAUUCGGAAUAAAAAUCAGAAUCAGAACAAGGGGAACAAAAAUCACAACGACCCGAUUCUGGUGCCAUAUAGCAAGUUCUACCCACAGCUUAUCCAAAAUGUUUUGGUGACCCCUAGAGCUCUCACACCUACGUCACCAUACCUGCCAUGGUACAAUCCAAAUGCAACAUGUGAAUUCCAUAAAGGGGCAGUGGGACAUGACCUAGAUUCUUGCUUAGCGCUAAAAGCUUUGGUACGAGAACUGAUUAACAAAAAGAGCUUAGUAUUUGAAGAAGAUCACCCGAAGAUCAAGUGCGGAUACCAUACUGGAACAAUGGGGCACUCCAUCGAGGAAUGCAAGAGUUUUAAGCUCAAGCUGCAAAGAUUGAUUGACAUAAGGUCACCAACACUCAACCCGAAGAUCAAGUGCGGAUACCAUACUGGAACAAUGGGGCACUCCAUCGAGGAAUGCAAGAGUUUUAAGCUCAAGCUGCAAAGAUUGAUUGACAUAAGGUCACCAACACUCAAGGAGGAAGGCUCAUGUACAUAUAUCUUGAUUUCUGGGUCAGGUAAUGAGAAAGGGAAAGGGCCCCUGAAACCCCUCAAGGUUUUGUACCACAAGGAAGAGGUCAAGGAUGUGGCUAAUGAGAUAUCAUCAUUUCCUGGUAAGAGCAUUGAUAUAUCACCUUGGAUUUCCAAUGUCAUGACCCAUACCAACGAAAGGAAAAGAGAAGUGAGUAGUGGAUCCAAGAGGGUUGCGUUCAACGAUGAGAUUGGAGGAAAAGAAUUUGAAGACCAUCAUGCCAAUGUCAAAAAGUUUGUUGAUCCCAACCUUCAAGUGGAUGAAAGUGAGCAGUUAGUAAUGCCCAAAGUGCCAUACCAACAACCACUACCUUUUGGUCUUCAUUGCCAACAAUCCUGGUUUACUCCUUAUCCAAAUCAACAAGCCCGAGGCCCGAGAUAUCGAAAUCAACGUUAAAAUCAGCUUAGGCCCCAAACUAACUUGAAAAGAAGAAAUGUUCCUCGUCAUCCAAUCCUCAUGACAUAUAGCCAACUUCUACAGCCUCUGAUUCAAAACUCGUUGGUGGUUUCAAAGCCUCUAAAGUCGGUUGCAUAACCUUACCCACCCGGGUAUGACCCAAAUGUGCAAUGUGGAUAUCAUGCCGGAUCAGAAGGGCAUUCAACCGAAGACUGCAACACUUUCAAAGCCAAAGUACAACAGUUGAUUGACAACGGAUACAUAGCCUUUCAAGAAGGAAGCUUGGUGGUAAACGUUAACCUAUCGCCCGAAUAAGUGCGAAGAAAUCAAGGGGUGUCUCUCGAAGUUAAUGGAUCAAGUUUGAAGAAGUCAAUUCCCUAAAGCUGGCAAUCAUUUGGCUGUUUCAGCAUUUCUUUUGUAAUUUCCUUGCAUGUUGAUUGGCAGUUGCUUUUAAGCAUUGUUUUUUUCUUUGAAUUGGUAAAAUUAAUCAAAUGUUUAUGCAUCUUUUGAAUUAAUCCAUUCGUAUUCACUCAUUUUUCAUUUAUGUUAAAAAACAAAAAAAAUACUUCUCUCAUUCACUUUUGUUUAUCAAACUGUUGUGUUAACAAAGAUUGGAAGGAGGAUGAUAAAAAACGAAACACCUGAAAUUGUUGUGGUAUGCUUUUGAAGAAAACCUUGUCGAUGAUGUAGGACAUUGUUUCAAAUCCCCAAACAUCGGAGAGAUAAGGAGUUAAUCCCUAGCCAACCACUUUGAGCCUAGAAGUUGGUGUUUCUUUCAUAUUUAAAAACCCUUAAUCUUAACCAGGGGAAGGGUAGUUAUGUUCAGAUAGUUUGAAUGUGCAUUCAAUUUUCAAGAGGAUUCGUCCAUCUCUACACGCCCUCCAGAGAAGUUCAACCACUUGUUAUUAUUUGCAUACAUGUUGAAGUGUCAAAGAAGUUGAGAAAAGCUAAAAUUAGUGUUGGUUGAUCCUCAUCCACCAAUAAUGUUGCAGUCAACACCUUUUAAAAACAUAAAAAAGCCCGCUAAGUCAAAUACCACAAAAUGACUUAAGCAAAAGUUAGGGCAUCCCGAUGGACCGAAAGCUUCAAAGAAGCGGUCCAGGCAAAAUUAGGGAUAAAGAAAAACAAAAAAAAGAAGUCCUCAAAUCCUAAACAAAACAAAGCAAAAUAAGGUGACUGUCAUUUCAAGAAAAUAUCAUCUUGAACACUCAUCCUUACCAUCACACCUUUAAACCCUCUUGGAAUUCGAAUGCGUGUGUCGAAUUAACUAAAUGUAGGAAUUGGAGAUCAUCAAGAAGAAGGGGUGGGUAAAAAUUAAAUUUUGAGCCUUAUAUCCUUUUGUUUCAAGAACCGUGAAUCAGACCACAUUAUAACCCUUAAAAGACCUAAUUGAGGAAAGGUUUAUUCUGAAAGCAUACUACAACAAAGUUGUGUUAACCUGACUCCAAACAAUUUUUGUUAAUCAUUUGAUGGCACCAACUUGCAUACUGUGAAUGACUUGAUCACCAUUGUGUUCUUAUCAAUGACUCGUUCACUGUAUUUCCCCCAUUCAUAUCAAUAAAGAAACUAAAGUUUAAAAAGCAUAAGCAUUGCAUUAAAAUUACCAUUUUUGAAUGAACAAUCUUAUUUGUGAUUCAGCACUUAGCAUCAAAGAAAUUCCAAUAAUAUACAAUUGAGGAACUUGAUAAAUUGAAAGAAGGCCAAUCAGGGGAAAUCACUUUGAGUAUCAAUCAAUCCGAGCCAAUUACCCCAAGGGUCAGUUAGCCAAGAGUAAUAUUCUUCAAGACUCGGAUUGGGGCAAGCCACCUCAGAAGCUCAUUGAGUCCAACUAUCCAAGGACAGUCAAUCAGAAGUUUACCAUUCCAUGUUUUGGUUAAUCAAGGUCAAAUCAUUGUGGUAUACAAACAUUGGGGCAAGCCAUCUUGAGAUCAUCUCAUGUCCAGCUAUUUCAAACUCACCGUCAAGGUGAACAUUUCCAAAGACCCAACAGACUAGGGCAAGAUGAGCCACAGAGGGGAAGAAUCUCUUUCUUCAUGCUUUCAAAUUGCUCAAACAAAUUCUUCCAUACAUCAAUAAUUAUUGAGUUUAAGAUGAGUGCCUGAAAAUCAUGUUAACACGAUUCAUUAAUCCUCCGAAAGGAUCCAUUUGGCUAAGUUGUGGUUGUCAAGCUUGAUAGAAUUCUCCUUUGACAACAUAUAUCACAAAAUAUUUGGUUGAGUUCUCGGUGUUGAGGAAUCACAACUUCCAUAAAAAGCCUUUAUAAACUUCCAGUCCACUCAACUGUCAGCAUUUUCAUAUCAUGAUCAUUCAUAUAUCAUGCAUAAAAACAAAUUCAAAUCAUGCAUAUGCAAAAUGUACUUCGCGCUCAUUUUGCAUUGGUCCAGGUCUUGUUGUUGAUCCUAUAUCCUUUGACCUCUAAUUCCAGUUUGCCUUUGGUGCCCUUAAACCAUCAUCCGGUUUUCGCAGUCAUUUUCAAGUCCAACUCAGUUGGCACCUAUCAAAAUUUGUCCAUGAGGUUCAAUUCAUUUUUGGAUUAUCCGAUGAAUUUCCGGAUUACUCAUCUGUUUAUUGAUGUAUUUCCAUAACUUGUCUGAUGUGUUUCCAUAUGUUUCCCCACCUAUCCGAUGUAUUCUCAAAUAUGUCUGUCUUGUAUUCUGAUGUAUUUCCAGAAUUUACUCGAUGUAUUACCGGAUGUGUCUGUAUUCUGAUGUAUUUCCAGAAUAUCACUUGUAAUUCUGAUACAUUUCCAGAAUUCGUUUCUUUUACUCUCUGAUGAAGUCCCGGACAUGUCAUUUUUGUUCUGACACACUUCCAGAACCCCUAUGCCAUCCCCUAGCAUUAUUUCAAGGUUCAUUAGUGUCUCCUAAAAUCAAGAUGUCACUAGCAUUAUUCUAAGCUCAGUUGUUACAAGAACUCAUUUUAACCCCAAUUGUCGUUGGCGUCACUGUCACUCCGUUUAUAAAUACAAUCGUAAUUGAUAUCUGAAGUUUGGUUGUCGCUAACAUCGUUUCAAGUCCAGUUGUUGCUGGAAAACUCCAUUGUAGCCAGUAAUUAUUUUACUAAUACCCUCGUUCAAGUCCAAUUGUUAUUGGCAAAAUCCGUUAAAAGCAGGUUGUAAUCCAUUGCUUACAGUCAAAGUCCAAUUAUUGUUGGAAAAAUCCGUUAAAAGUAGGUUGUAAUCCAUUAAUUAUGGUCAAAGUCCAAUUGUUUUUUGGCAAAAUCCAUUAAGAGUUGGUUGUAAUCCAUUGCUUACGGUCAAAGUCCAAUUGUUGUUGGCACGUCAGAGAGUUUGAUUACCCUGUCUUUCCUGAUGGUUCCGUGAAAGUCAUGUAUGACUCAUCAUCUUGAGGAAUUCCCAGAAGCUUGGAGGUUUUUCGUGUUAGAAAACUCCAAUGAUGUUAGUUUUGUUUGAUUUCUUUGUAAAGAAUCAUUGUAGCCUUUUGCGUGGAUGAUCUACUUAUAAGAAGACUCCCGUUUAUCUUUGUUUUGUAUAAAUUCCCUAUUAGGAAUCUCCAAAAUCUUUAUCGGAUGAAUUUCUUAUGAGAAAUCUCCAGAAUUAUCAGAUGUAUUCUAAAGUGUCAGGUCAUGUAUGGACCUAUUAAUGAAACUUGCUUUGUAUGUUUUCCAAUAUUCUCAGGGCAUGUAUGAACUUGUUGUUGAAGUUUUCUUUGGAUUUUCUGUUGUUGUUAGGUCACAUAUGAACCUAUGGUUAAAAUAUCCGUGAAACCUCCAGAAUUUCCAGGUCAUGCAUGAACCUGUGGAUAUACUUUCUGUGAAUUUUCCAGUGUCGUCAAGUCAUGUAUGAACCUAUUGAUAAAACUCCCUUUGAUUUUUCCCAAGUGUUGUCAGGUCAUGUUUGAACAUGUGACUUUGGUUUUACCAAGUGUUGUCAGGUUAUGUCUGAACCUGUGAGUGAAACUUUCUUUGAAUAUCCUAAUAUUGAGGUCAUGUAUGAACCUAUUAAACUUUCCUUGAUUUUCUAGUGUCGUCAGGUCAUGUCUGAACCUGUUGAUAAAACUCUCUUUGAAUUUUCCAAUGUUGUCAGGUCAUGUAUGAGCCUGUUGAUGGAACUUUUUUGUAUGUUUUCCAAUAUUGUCAGGCCAUGUUUGAACCUGUUGAUAGAACCUUUUGAUAUCCCCCAGCAUUGUCAGGUCAUGUUUGAACCUGUUAUUGAAACUCUUUGAAUAUUCUAAUUGUCAUGUCAUGUAUGAACCUACUGAUGGAAUUCUUUGAUUUUUUUCAAUGUUGUCAAGUCAUGUAUGAAUUUGUUGAUUAAAACCCCUGUGAAAUUCCCCAGUUUCUUUUCCACGGCAUUUUGUUAUCCCCGGUGAGUUUCCACCCUUAUUUUUUGUUUUUGGUGGGCCACCUUUAUCACAUAUCUCCAUCAUUUUCCACAGAUCUUUGUUUCAUUCUGCAUCCAUCAUAAAACAUCAUGUCAGGGUUUAUCUUAUGUCUGAUCAUAUCACUAGCAAACCAAAAAUAAAAACGAGUCAUUCAUACAUUCAUAGCAUCUCAUAUCAUAUCAUAUCAUUUUCAUUUCAGGAUCAAAAUCCGGGUCUUCUUAGUAUUUAACUAUCUCCCACUAUGAUCAUAUGAAGAGUAUAUUGCUUCAUAUUCUCAUGUUGAAGAUACUUAAAUAGGGGCAACUGUCACACCCAAAUUUUGAUCCUGAAUCGCUGGUUCAAUACAUUCAUCAUAGCUACUGCAUCUCUACAUAUCAUACCAUGCAUUCCAUACCGCAUAAUGCCUAGAAUAUCAGUCGAAAUAAUUUUUUCGGAUCUACAAGCAAACCGGUUGAAUUAAUCGACGGAUAUGCGUCAAAUCAGUAGACGAAAAAUUUGAAAAUCAAGCUUCCAAACUUCAACUUUAUUAAUCUACGUUUCGCAUAGUUUAAUCUGGUAUGCUCGAUUUAUUUUUCAGCUAAUUUUUCUGCCACUUUUUGAUCAGCUCGGGCCUGUUUAACCGGACAAAAUUUAUUUCAAAAUUAGACCAAACGCUGUAUAUUUCCGAGAGUUUUAUUUUAUGCUGAUCAUUUUCGUGCAUUCAAUUUAAUUUUUCAAGCACUUUUGUGCUUGACUUUAUUUUAUUUUUGAGUCAUUUUAUUUUUAUUUUUAUUUUUGUCAAAAUAAUUGAAAUAUUUAAAUAGGAUUAGUUGUGUUUUUUUUCCUUUCAAUUUUAUUGUAUUUAUUUUUUAGUGUUUUUUUUAUUUAAUUUAUUUAGUUUUAAAUUAAUUUGGUUUCUUAGAUAAAUAUCCAAGGGUAUUUGUGGUAUUUGCAUUAACUUGUAACCCUAAGGACUACUAUAUAUUUGAACUUAUGCAUGACCAUGAAGGAUAGCCAAUAGUACACAGGCGGCCACCCCCAUAUGCACGUCUCUCAUUAGUGUUUUAGGAGAAACUCCAUUUUGCUACCAUUUUUUUUAUGAAUGUCAUGUACCUUCCUCCUUUUUCAGAUUCAGGAAAGAAAGUCAACUUAACUCACUCCAUUUCCUCUUAUUAAUCACAGCCUCUCACAAACUAUAUAUAGCAUUAUCUUCCAUGUAAAAAACCUGAAGAAAACAAGAUCUUAACAUCACUCUUCCACAAACUUCAUUCUAACACUCACACCAUCUGAAACCAACAACACACUCAUGCUUCCAUUCAUCACCUUCAUCAUGAAACUCAUUAAAUCAUAACACCUCAUUCUCAUCUUUUAUUAUUCUUCAUUCUCACAACCUUCAUAAACAUAACCUCUUCUAAUGGUAAAAAAAAUCCUCUCAAUUCAAACCAAAGAUAAACAUGAAGACAUCACCAUUUCUACACUCUUAAUAUUUCCUCCUACACUCCCUCCACCAUGAAUAACUCAAAAAUAUUUCCAAUAGAUCUAACCUUCAUACUAGAAAAAACUUUCAAUCACCUUGUUAUAACUCAACACCAUUUGCCACCAAACUCUACACUCCGUCGUACCCCUCAAUCGUCAAACCACACACCGAUCAUCUUUUCGGUACCCCUUUAAUCACUUUCUCUUGUUUGUUAAAAUAUUGCCAUGCAUUCUUUUUAUUCUAGAUCUAAAAUUUGUGUUUGAGUUUUGUUAACUUGUGUUUAAGAGUCUUUAUUAGUUUUUAUGAUUUGAGAACACUCAUGAGGAAGAAAAGAGACAUAUUUGAAUUUGUUUAUUGUUUUGUUUAAUUGUUGGUGUUGUUCAUGAAACCUAUGAGAGGGUGAUGUUUUCCUGUACAAAGGCCAUGCGCGAGAGAGAGUUGUUUACGGAAAUGUUUUUCAUCAGCUUUUUUUCCUACUGAUAUGAAAGAGAUAAAUUGAUGUUUUUUUUUAUGUUUACUCAAUUAUAACAUGUGUCACCGUCUCAAUAAUCUUUUUGAAUUUUUGUUUUUUUUAAAAAGAGACCUGGGAUUUUAUUUUCUAAAGAGGUGAGAUGUUGCCCCUAUCCCCUUUGUUCUCAUAUGUUUGUUAUUUUCCUUCUCUUCUCAUUAGUUUAUUUUUUUAAAUUUAAUAUUAAUAUAUAAAUUAAUUAGGCUUUUCUUUAUUCUCUUUUUUAAAAAUAAAUAAUAAUAAUAAAAUAUAUAAUUUAAUUAGUAGACCAAAUCAUUUUUCACCUUUUAUUUAUUUCAUUAAAUUUCUACAUNAAUAAUAAUAAAAUAUAUAAUUUAAUUAGUAGACCAAAUCAUUUUUCACCUUUUAUUUAUUUCAUUAAAUUUCUACAUUUCUUAUGAUUUAGUUCAAUCAUUUUAGUAUUUAUUUAAUGGUUUAAAUAUUUACUUAAUUAGUUUAUUAAACCUUAUAAUUAAUUGCUUUAAUUUAAUUACUAAUUGUUUGGUUAAAUAAUGUUUAGUCAAUUAAUUGUAAUUUUGUUACUCAUGUUCAUAUUCUCAUACAUGUAAAUAAUCAUGUCCCAUAUCUCACUAUCGAUUAAAUAAAUGUCAAAUCAUUUUGAAAAAAAAUAUUUUUAUUUUCAAACUUUUUUUUAUCUCACUUAUCUUAUUCAAACCAUUUUCUUAAAUAAAAUUUGAAGAAAAAGAUUACUCUGGAUGGAAUAUCCAGUCGUAAUCCCGAAUAUUAGGCCCAAGUUGUAAGAGCUUGCAAGCCAUAAGUAUUUGUAUUCUCUUCAAAACACUCCAAUAUUCAAAUUUAUCUUUCUCAAUAAAAUAUGAAGAAGAAAAUUACCCUGGAUGAGAUAUCCAGUCGUAAUCCCGAAUAUUAGGGCCAAGUUGUAAGAGCUUGUAAGCCCUAUGUAUUCGUCUUCUCUUAAAAAAUAUUUGUAAAUAUUUAAACUUUUUUUUCUAAAUAAAAUUGAAAGAAAAAGAUUAUCUGGGUGAAAGGUCCAGAUGUAAUCCCGAGUAUUAGACCCAAGUUGUAAGAGCUUGCAAGUCAUAAAUAUCCGUCUUUCAAGCCAAAAAUACGUUCAACCAAUCACUUUUUUUCGCCGCCAUGCGAUUGAUCUUAGAAAACCUUUUCAUAAAUGAAAGACAUGUUGUCUUAAGGUGAUGUAAAGCAAUGUUUCGGCCAUAAUUGUUGAGUUGAGAUAAGUGACGUUUUCCGAAUGUUGAUUUGUAAAUCCAUUUGAUGUGUGGUAUACGUCCGCUCCUCAUCUGUUUUGGAUAAAAUAAUGUUUUUCAUCGAUUAAUACAAUAUAGCUUUUGCUAAAAUCGACCAACAAACAAACAUUUUCUACCCAGAACUAUGUAAGCCCUGAGUUCUCUAUUGAGAUACGUAGGAGCAGGAUUGCAAAAUCUUGUCAGGCCCAUUAAUAAAAAAAUCUUGUCAGUCCCCUUUAUUGCAAAAAUCCAAAAACAUCUUCUCUUUUCUUUUGAUCCUAUCUCUCUUUCCCACCUAAUAUCUUGAGAAACCUAACAUUUCAAGCUAACAAUAACGCACACAAUUAACCUAAUGGUUCCCGUUGAGUACAACGGACGUAAAGGGUGCUAAUAUCUUCCCCUUGCGUAGUCGACUCCCGAACCCUGAUUUGGUUGCGACGACCAUAAUCAUUGUCGUUCUUUCUUGGGUUUUAUCAAUAUUUCCCCUUUUCUUUUUAGAGAUAAAUAAAGUUCGGUGGCGAUUCUGUUUAGUCCAUCAUUGCGAGCGUGCGAUUGCGCUUCGCUAGGUAGUAUUCCCAUUUUUCGAGGUACGACACUACCAUUCAAGGUUUCCAGUAGUCAUAGUUGGAUCCAUCCAGAAUAGGUGUUCUGUGAACAGAUCCUCCGUCUCUAUCCAUAGUACCAGAAAGUAACGUCCUUAGAUCUCACCCAGAACCAGAGCAGGAUGCCUGCUCUGAUACCUAUUGAAAUUCUAGUAUCAGAUAUGAGAUGUCGAAGGUAAUGUCACGACACUAAUAUUUGAAUAAUACAAACAGGAUAAAAGAUAAAGAACAGUAAUGCAAGAGACACAAGCAAUUGUUAACCCAUUUCAGUGCAAACUCACAUACGUCUGGGGGCUACCAAGCUAGGAAGGAAAUCCACUAAACAAAAUCAGUUCAAAGACUCUCAGUAAUCAACUUCAAGUUACAGCCUUUUCACCUAAUCUCUACUCGUGUGACUUCUACCUAAGAACUCUUAGAUAUGAGAUCCUACUCACUCCCUCUCAAUCACAGCAGUGAUAUAAAACAAGAAUUACAAUGAAAAGAAGACACUCUUUAAAGACACAUACUUGAUCUUGCUUAAAAGCUUCAAUCAAGUAAACACACACUCAUACUUCAAAGCUUAGAGUGGACAAAUUACAACUCAAAAAUCAGUCUAAUUCAAUCAUCUAUGGAUGAAUGAAUGGCUUACAAUUCACACGACCACACAAGACUAAAACCCUUAUUCUCUCUCAAUAUUUCGUUCGUUAUUUCUUGUGUCUAAAACCAGGUUUUCCAUGUCCUUUAUAUAGAAGCAUUUGGUUGGGCUUGGACACCAUAAAACCCUAAAACUAACUAUUUUCCAUUCAUAUCUUCUCAUGACAGCUGAUUAUAUCUCGUUGGAAAAUAAGUCAAUCUGGUUGUAGUUACUGAUUGAAUGCGCUAUCUUAUGUCAAGACAACACUUGUGAUAACUUGUGAACACUAUAGGUCUUACCAAAAUUGCUGCCAACACAUAGAACCAACAAUUAUGAAAUAUGGCAGAUGGAUGUCAAAACUGCUUUCCUUGAUGGGAAUCUUCUUGAGGAUGUGUACAUGACACAGCCUGAAGUAUUUAACAUACCAGGAGAAGCCCAAAAGAUAUGUAAGUUACAAAGAUCAAUCUAUGGAUUGAAGCAAGCUUCCAGAAGCUGAAAUCUUCAUUUUGAUGAAACAAUAAAAUAAUAUGGAUUCAUCAAGAACGAAGAUGAGCCUUGUGUUUACAAGAAGGUUAGUGGGAGCAUGAUCAUUUUCCUGGUAUUAUAUGUAGAUGACAUAUUACUCGUUGGAAACGAUGUCCCUACCCUGAAACAAGUAAAGUCUUGGUUGGGGAAAUUCUUUUCUAUGAAGGACCUAGGAGAAGCAACCUAUAUAUUAGGAAUGAGGAUCUAUAGAGAUAGAUCACAAAAACUGUUUGGCCUAAGUCAGAGUACAUACAUAGACAAAGUGCUAAGACGCUUUAAUAUGCAUGAUUCCAAGAAAGGAUUCAGACUUAUGCAACAUGGCUUGUAUCUAUCAAAAACAUAAUCCCCUUCAACUAAGGAAGAAAUGGAUCACAUGAAUAAGAUUCCAUAUGCAUCUGCAAUAGGAUCUAUCAUGUAUGCAAUGUUAUGUACUCGACCAGAUGUCUCGUAUACUUUAAGUGCAACGAGUAGAUACCAAUAUGAUCCCGGUGAUGCUCAUUGGGUAGCUGUCAAGAAUAUCCUUAAGUAUUUGAGAAGGCCUAAGGACUCAUUCUUGAUAUAUGGAGGUCAGGAAGAGCUUGUUAUAAUUGGAUACACCGAUGCUAGCUUCCAGACAAAUAAGGAUGACUUUAGAUCACAAUCUGGUUAUGUGUUUUGCUUAAACGGUGGCGCCGUGAGCUGGAAAAGUUCAAAGCAAGAUACAGUUGUUGAUUUUACAACUGAGGCCGAGUAUAUUGUUGCCUAAAGUGCAACAAAGGAAGCUGUUUGGGUCAAAAAGUUCAUUAGUGAACUUGGCAUAGUUCAUAGGAUUGUGGAUCCCAUUGGUCUCUAUUGUGAUAACAAUGGUGCUAUCGCACAAGCUAAGAAGCCUAGAUCUCACCAACGAUCCAAACACGUACUUAGGCGUUAUCACCUCACUCGAGAGAUAAUAGAUAGAGGAGAUGUGAAAAUAUGUAGAGUACCUACACUUGACAAUAUUGGUGACCCACUAACAAAGCCUCUUGCGCAGUAGAGGCAUGAUGGCCAUACUAGAUCUAUGGGCAUUAGGGGUAUGCCUGAUUGGCUAUAGUGCUAGUGAGAAAUUGUUGGUGUAAGUCCUAUAGGCCAAUACUUUUGGUACUUGUAUCGAAUUAUUUAUUAAUAAUAAAAUGCUUUUUCUUUAUUAUGUUUGUUUAAUAAAGUCCCUAGAAUAUCUAGUCCGUUUAAUGUAUCAAGUGUGACUUAAUCAUGAGAUCCCAUUAAACAUAAGGUUAAUAUUCAUAAAGUAUUAGUAGUCGAGCUUUAUUGUGAAAUAGGAUAACAUUAAAGCAUCAAGACUAUUAUGUAUAUAGACUGAUGAUCACAUCUCAUGGAUAAUGGAUAAGGAGUUAUCAAGUCUUAAACAUAGGUAUGAAUAUUAAGAGUAAUAUUUAUACAGGAUUGACCCGCUAUGAGAAUACUAUAUAGAAUGUUAUGCAAAGUGUCAUAAGUUAUUCUGAUGGUGAUAAUGGUGUAUACCACCAUUCGACCUGAAACCACAAUGGACCCUAGAUGUAGAGUCGAGUGCCUUAUUGCUGAUCAAACAUUGUCUGUAACUGGAUGACAAUAAAAACAGUUGAUGAGUACUACACGAAGCAUGCUGAGGGACAUGAGUGACCUAGAUAGAAUUUUCCCAUCCUGCGUAACAGGAUAAAUGUCUACGGGCCCAAUAUUGGACUACAUAAGGAUGACACGGUCUAUGCUUUUCGUUUAAUAUAUACAUAAGGGAAAAAGGGUAAUUAUACACAAAAGUAUUAUCACAAAAGGAUUUGUCAGAUCACAUGACAUUUUCGUGUCUUGGGUAGCAAUGAUGUGUUGCUAGAUACCGCUCACUGUUUAUUAUGUUAAAUACGUGAUUUAAUAUAAUUGUUAAUGUCACAAAAACCUAUAGGGUCACACAUAAAAUGACGGAUUGGUGAGAGAUAGAGUAACUAAAGAACACUGUAAGGUACGAUGCACUUAAGUGAAUUGUAGAACGUCGUAAGGUACGAUGUACCUCAGUAGAAUAUGAAAUAUGGUAAGGUACCACACGCUUAAGUGAUUUUGGCAUAUCAUAAGAUAUGGGUCACACACACUUAAGUGGACUUUUUAGCUUGUAGCCCAAUAAGUGGUUCUAUAAAUAGAACCCUUGUGCACAAGCAUUUGUGUAGUUGUAAUUUUGUUUCUCUCUCUCUCUCUCUCUCUCUCUCUCUCUCUCUCUCUCUCUCUCUCUCUCAUUCAAAGCCUUUAUUCAUAGCAGCUAGCCCUGAGAUUGAAGGAAUCCGUUCGCGUGGACUGAGUAGAGGCGUUGUCACUAUUCAACGUUCGUGAUCGCUCUGUAGAUCUGCAUCAAAGGUUUCAAUCGCCACAAGAGGUAACGAUUCUAUCACUGAUCAUGCCCAAUUGUAAGGAUCACUAAAGGAGAAAUUUUUAAAUUCCGCUGCAUUUUGGAUCGCUCUUCUCCUUCAAAUGUAUCGUAUAUUUGACUUAACAUGCAUUGAUUUUUACUUGAUUUUCCAUAGUAUCACGCCGUAUUUUAUGUUUAUUUGAGAUAUUUAUCGAAUAAGAGAUAUUUAGGUAAGCAAAGGGGAAAAUAGAAAAAAGGAAAAAAAGGAAGAAAAUGGAGCAAAAUAAAGAGUGGUGGUGCUCACCACAUUAUAAGAAUGUGGCGCCCACCACAUGGGAGAGUGGCGUCCGCCAUAAGGAUUUAUGAAGGGUGGCGCCUUCCACAUUACAUGAAUGUGGCGCCUAUCACACAUGGAAGUGGCGCAUGCCACGUGAUCAAGUUAGGGUUGUGGCAGCCGCCACCAACCCAGUCUUCCUUGUUCUUCUCCACAUUCGGUUUUUGCUCUUUCAACAAACUGCUUCCCACUAGUAGAUAUUCAAGGCUACUUUUAAGGAGAAGUGGGGAGUAUAUAUAGACUUCGGUCUUUAGAGGCCAGGUGUGCAUGUUUUUAGUCAAAUUUUGUUGUUAGCAUUUCUUAGGCAGAUAUUUAUCUGUAAAGUAAUAGAUUAUCCACACCGGAGACUAUUAUGAUUUUUGUUUUAAGCAACUGAAUUUGAUUGUAACAGUGUACCCGAUUGCCAAAGCGUGUCAGUAUUGUUUGAAUUCAAGAAUUAACAUUCAUUCCAAGUUUUCGGUUUAUAAUCCAGGUUUUAUUUUAAUUUCCAUUUUAAUUGCUUAUGCCUUAUCGUAAGCUUAAUUAUCUGAAUAUCAUGUUUGAUCCUGGAUCCAUGUGCGGCUAAACCAAUCGGUAUCAAUAUGUAAAGACCGCCGAAACGACGGGAUUCGUAAGUAAUUGGUGUUGGCUUUUAUAAAAUAUUAUUUUUUCAGUUAUAGUUUCUUGUUCUAAAUUCAAAACUGUUUUUCGUACAAAAGUACAAAGCAAACAAAGGUUACGGUCAAUAAAAACGAGAGUUUGAGAUUUUAACCGGAUAGCUAAAACUAGGCAUUAAUCCUAAAUACAACGAGAGCACUUUAGGAUUAAUUAGACUUUAUUUAUUUCCAAAAAUUACUUUUAACUCAAAUGAGACAGCGAGAGCAAAGCAUUCUGGUUUAAGAGUAUGGUCAGAGUCCAUAAAAACGAGAGUGUGAGACAAAGUCUUUUAAAUAAAUAAUUUCUACUAAAGAAUAUUUUGAUGUUUAAGAUUUCACCAACUAUCUAUCGAAUCCCUGAAGUUUGAUGCGUUACAUACCGAUAUCCCGCUAUUAAAUAUUUUUAUUAAUAUUCUGUUUUCGUUAGUAGUUAUUUCUCUUCGUCCCUCAACUCCUAGAGAGAUCCUCAGCCUUAGAUUUACAUAGUAACAUUAAAUAAUGGUAAGUUCGAUUAUUAGUCCUUUGGGUUCGAUAAUUUUUAAAAGUACGUGAUACGACUGUGCACUUGCAGUCACGAAUCCUAUAGACAUACUAAGUCGCGAUCAAGUUUUUGGCGCCGAUGUUGGGGACUAAUUUAGUCGAUAUCGUAAUUCCAGUGUUGCCCAAUAUAGACUAAGGCACUCUUUUCUCUAUUACUAUGUAUCACCCAAUUUUUCUCUAUGAUUAUCACUCUCAGUAUUUGGAGGAAUCGCAAGAUUCCUGUAAAUUCGACCUGGAAAUAUUAAUGGAGGAUUUCAUUGCGACGCAAACUCACUCUAGGCUAGAAUCUAUGAUGGAAUGCUUUGUGGCUACACAAACUCUUCAAAAUAAAGAAUUUAGAAAACAAAGUCUCUUUACCAAUGAAAUUCUUAGGCAACUGAACACUAUGGUCGAGUCCCUCGUCACUCAUAACGAGUCAUUGGAGACUCAAAUCUCCCUGCUUGCACAGACACCUAUAGGACCAUUCCUAAGAAACAUGCGGAUGUUGUAACAAUCACCAGUGAAAAAUCUACCGAAAAUCCUAAGGAGAGUGAUAAUGAGGAGGGUUCAGGUGAGAAAAGAGUAGAGAUUGAGAAAGAUCCACCGACACCAGCAGAAGGGGAGGUUGUUGAAGAGGUAGAGAAGGAAGCACUAUGUGUUGUUCCUCCUCCCUAUAAAUCACCAAUUCCUUUCCCGCGAAGGUCUGUGGAAGUUAAGGUAGACCCCAAAUCCGAAAGGUACGAGGAGCUAUUGGAAAAUAUCCACACCAAUGCACCUUUAUUUGAGAUCAUAAAUCAUAAAAGAAAAUUAGAAGACCGUGGAGCUAGGGAACUCAUUAGUAUUAAAAGGGGCAAGUUAGACUUUGAGGUGGUGGAUGAAAAAAUUGAACCCAAACCUAAAAAGUUAGCUCUCAGGAUAGAGCCAAAACCACCACCACAAGUUCAGAAGGAUAAACUACCUCGCAGAAGAAAAAGAAGAAAAUGUGAUGGAUAUGAGAGAUGAAUUGAUAAGUGGCCAUGGAAAUCGAGGAUAAUUAAAAGUUUGACCAAGGAUUCAUUCUUGAAAGAACCACCAUGAGUACUUACACUCCAGAGUCGUCGCGCUAUCAACGUAAAACAUAGCGAAUAUUUCCAUUUAUAUUAAUGUGAUUUUUUAUCUAUCCAUUUUUUCUUUCUUUUAUUUCAUAAGGUCACUCGGUAUUUUUAUUAAUUAUUAACCAUUACUAACUUAAUUACAUUGUCUACUUAAAUUUAUCUAGCUACUGACCUUCAUGAUGCAACAAGUAGACUACAUGGAUAUAGUUUUCAGAGGCAUAGGUCAAAGGAGACGCUUUAAGGGUCUAGCUCAAAGAGAGAUGGCGCUAACCAUAUACCCCGAUGGACGCACCAUGACCAAGUUAGGUAUAAGAGACAAUAUUAUGUUCCUAAUUAACCAAAUUGGAUGGGAUACUUUUGCUAUCAAAACAAAUUUUAGUUCUUACCGUAGGCUAACCUUAGAAUUCCUAAGCUCCCCGAUAUACUUGCCAAGCCAUGGUAUCAGAUUUAAUAAAGGCCUCGUCACCUUUAGGAUGUUUGAUAUUGAGUAUCGCUACAAUCAUAGAGAAAUAGAUGAACUCCUAGGAUGCCCUAAUGGUCCUGAUACCUUUACCAUCACCCAGGAAGACCUGCUUACUGACCUUAAACUAGAUUACUUUUGGGGUAGCAUUACAGGAAACAACCAUCCCGAGCCGGAUCUCAUGCAUUCUGAGAACAUCCACAACCCUGCCAUCUGUUACUUUCAUAAUAUCUUAGCUCACACCCUAUUUGGAAAGGAAUAAAACAUAACCUUUAUGUCCAAAGACGAACUCUUUAUAAUGUAUUGUGCAUCACAAGCCCAUCCUGUUAAUGUCGCUACAUUUAUGAUAGCCAACCUAAACUGUAUGGCAUAAGCUAACCAUGAACCAAUCUUAAUAGGGGGCUUAGUGACCAUGAUCGCAAAUGCUAUUGGAUUGAUACGACCACUUAUCAUAGUUAACCCUCUAGGUGGAAUACGACCAAUGAACAUUCAAUUUUGUUUCAACACUGGUAUCAUUAGAAACUUGGGCCCGAAUGUGUUUGAAUUUCUAAUUAACAACCAAGUCGUACACAUGUUUACCCUGCCAGACCAUAUGACGAGUGUACAUGAUAGGAACAACUGACUCUUUAAUUUGGACGGACCAUCAGAUGCACCACCCUCUCCUCCAGAGACUCCCCAAAUCUAUGACCAUUAUGACACCUAUCUCUCUAACGCUGACUCAUGCGCCCCUGAUGUACCUGUUGCGCCUCUUACCGAUCCUGUUGUUGUCAUCGACGUUGUCCAGACCGACAUCGCCAACCUAAGAAGCGAAUUGAGAACUCUGCGCGUGGACCUCCAUGGCUUUAUGGAUGUAGUGACAAAGAACUUGAAUCACAUUUACCAGCACUUCUACUCGUUCGUUCCUCUUGCCAGAAGUCGCCGUAAUGACUAAUAUAUAUGAAUAUUACCGAUUUACUGACAUUGAUUUUAGAUUUUAUUUUCAUGUUUGGAUUUUCUUGUUGUGUUUACACAUUAGGAAUUUUUUUAUUAUUUCACAAAUGAAUUAUGUUAUUCAUUCCCAUCUACAUCAUUCUUUUCUUUUUCGAUUUUAUGUUUUAAUUUCAUUCUACCAUGCCCUAUUUAAUUCUCAAUUUUCUUAUUUCUUUUUUUUCUUCUUUUUUUCUUUCACCUAAUUAUUCAAAAACUAUUAAUUGUUGGUCAAAUAAAUUCACAUGCAAAAGUUGUGGUCAAUUAAGAAAAUGCAGGGUAAAAAGAUAAUACAUAGGAACACACAACACUGCAUGUGGCGCCUGCCACACACAGGCUGUGGCGCCCAUUUACACACUGUGGCGCCCACCGCACCCUCAUAAUGGUGCCCGCCACAGACACAAAGUGGCGCCAACCACUCCAUCAAUCCUCACGCUGCUGAUGUGCUAUCAAUUCCAUAAAUUCCUUGUCCCAUGCAUGCUAGACAAAGUAUUAAACCUUCUUCAACCACUUUCAAUACUUUGACUGAGGCAUUAAACACCAUUCAUUAUAAUUUAUUCCAUUAAUCAUUUUCCAACCACCAUCACCUCUAUAUAAACCAGCAAUAUAACCUCACAAAAACACAUCUUUCAUAAUCAAAUUCUCCUCCUUCUAGCUACAUUCUUACUACAUACACGAGUAGUGAGAAUUUUAGUCAUGGCAUAAAUGCAAGAAUACGAAGUAUUGUUCAGAGCCGGCGAACCAGGUGAAUUGUAGGAAGAAAUCUACACGACUCUAAGCGCAAGAGAAAUAGAGUCAACAAGGUACGUUGAUGAACCUUGUUUAAUAGCCUUAUGAAUUCUUGUUAGUGUUAAUCAUAUGUUAAAUACUUUAAGUUUAAAUUAUUUCAUAUCUUUUAAAGGCCCCGUAUAUGCCCAAUUAACACUAGAAUUCCUUAGUUCACUUAUUUUUAGUCCCACCCCCAACACAAACUGUUCCAGUGGGACUGUCUAGUUUCACUUGUUCAAUAUAGAGUAUGCUUUUAUCUUUGCCCAACUAGAAAACUUGCUACAAUUCCCCCAUGGGAAUGAUGUAGUAAGUGAGGUCCCAAAUACUGAAGGUUGGCAACACUCCUUUCAACCAUUCUGGAGGGCAAUAACAAGUACAAUAACACACAAUUUUGAGGGAAACAUAGCCACUUUAAUUCACAAUCUGACUAUCCGUUAUUUCCGCCAAAUAUUGGCAUGCACCAUUUUUGGCCAAUCCAACUCUAACAAGGUGAGUGAGAAAGAACUCUUCUAUCUGUUCGCCACUUUUAUGCCACAAAAGGUCAAUACCAUCCCUUUCAUGUUCUCUCACAUGCAAAUCAGUAUCAACGCAAGAAGAUGGCCAAUUAUUUUUGGAGGUUUAAUAACCUCAAUAGCCCGAGUCCUAGGACUCAAAGAUAAAUUUUCCCAGCUAACACCGCUUCCGCCUCGUGCCAUUGACAUUGACAUGACAAGAAACAUGGAACUGGUAAAACAAAUGCAAGACGGUAAAUUUCACCUAAUGGCUUCCAAUAGUGUCUUUCAAGAUUUCAUCCUCCCAAACCCAAUUCACACAAAUGUGCGUAACCCAGAAAAUUAUUGUUAUAUUCAUGAUCUGGUGCCUAACCAAGUCCUCGCGCAUAUUAAUGAGAAUGUAGCCGCUAGCGGGGACAUCAAUGAGGAUUAUGUUCAGGAGCCAACUGCUCCCGCUACUAACACACACUCAUACACCAUACACAUUUCUUCUGAAAAUGUUGCAUGUACAUCAUCCAGCCAAAGACCUAGAAGAAGAAAUGUGGCACUUGCCACUUUUAAUGACAUAUAUGCUGACUUACUGCGGCGUAGCGAAUUAGACGCUCAGCGCGACCAACAAAUCCAAAACAUGGAAGCUCAGCAAACAAAAAUGAUGUAAAUCCUUCGCCAUAUACAGGAUGACCAACAUGAUUACGCUUUCAGGACUGAACAAAACAUGUCUGGUUUGAUCGAUGAAAUGGCAACAUUGAUAGUGUGUGUGGAAUAUCUACAAGAAUAUGCCUCUUAUGUGGGUACGCCACCUCACCAGCCUAGAAAUGGUGGACAUGGACGAACACGUGGCAAAAUGCGCCAGUAGCAGGCUACUCAGGUUCUACAUUUCUUUCCUAUCUUAUGUCGUUGCAUUUAGGACAAUGAUCGAUUUAAGUAUGGGGGAGGAAGCUUUAACGCUUUUAUUUAUCGCUUUCUAUGUAGAUUUAAAUUAUUGUUGUUUCCUUUGUUAAAUUGUUAAGUGUUAUUGUUAUUUUCUUUGUUAAAUUGAUAAGUGUUAGUCGAGUCAAAUAUCAUUGCACUAUCGAGUCUUUAUGCGUGGUUUCCGUUGUUUACUGAUUCUCCCAUUUGCUUAAGCCAUACCAAAUUUUUGCGAAAAAUCUUGACUUAGAAACACAAUACAUCUUUUAAAAAUCCUAAACUAUAAAUAAAACUUAGGUUGAAUUGUAGAGAUUUGGAAAAAAUUUACAAGAUCGGUGUCGUUUUAACACCUUAAAUCUCCCAAGUAUAAGAUCGAUUUGAGUACUUGUCAUGUCGUAGCCUUAAAUUCUAUCCUUUAAUAUUCCUUAAGUAGUUUGUUUAUCUAGCAGUUAACACCAUCCUAAGUAUACACUAUGCAAGAAGUCGAUGCAAAUAAGUGUAUGAUCUCAGGCUUAAAAGAGAAAAAGAUUGACAAAAUUUAUGAAAAAUGUUGUUCCUUCUAAGUUAGGUGACCCUCGCCCGGUCAUUUAACCCAACGGUAUAACCAUCUUUAACUGUUAUUUGAGCUAAAGUGCGAAAAAGAAAUAAAUAAAUAAUGAUGAGAUCAUAGUCACUAACAAAUUAUCUUGCUAUGAAUGUGAAAGGAUAACAGGCUUAAUGUGAUUGCACUAGAAUGGAAAAGGAUAAAAAGAAGAAUUAGUAAGGUAGGCUUAGGCAUGAUGGCAUGAUUCAGAUUGGUUUGUAUAUGAGGGAGACUUGUGAUUGCACGAUUGUGACUAUGUGUUCCAAUGACACCCUUAGUAUGGAAGAUAGUACCUGUUGAUGCAAUUCAUGAUCGAAGUAGAAUUUAUAGGCAAGAAUGAGUAUAUGAAUGCAACUGUGUUUUUCACAAGUCUUGAGACUGUAUGCUACAAAAGUUUUACAAAACUCUUUUAUUCAUGUACACAACAUUUGCUUGAGGACAAGCAAAGGUUUAAGUAUGAGGGAGUUUGAUAACGCAAAAAUGUAUCGUAUAUUUGACUUAACAUGCAUUGCUUUUUACUUGAUUUUCCAUAGUAUCUCGCCGUAUUUUAUGUUUAUUUUAGGUAUUUAUCGAAUAAGAGAUGUUUAGGCAAGCAAAGGGGAAAAUAGCAAAAAGGAAAGAAAAAUGAGCAAAAUAAAGAGUGGUGGUGCCCGCCACAUUAUAAGAAUGUGGUGCCCUUCAUAUGAGAGAGUGGCGCCCGCCACAAACAAAAAGGAAAGAAAAAUGAGCAAAAUAAAGAGUGGUGGUGCCCGCCACAUUAUAAGAAUGUGGUGCCCUUCAUAUGAGAGAGUGGCGCCCGCCACAAGGAUUUAUGAAGGGUGGCGCCCACCAUAUUACAUGAAUGUGGCGCCCACCACACAUGAAAGUGGCGCCCGCCACGUGAUCAAAUUAGGGUUAUGGCAGCCGCCACCAACCCAAUCCUCCUUGUUCUUCUCCAUAAUUUUCUCCACGUUCGGUUUUUGCUCAUUCAAUAAACCGCUCCCCACUAAUAGAUAUUCAAGGCUACUUUUAAGGAGGAGUGGGGAGUAUAUAUACACUUCGGUCUUUAGAGACGGGGGUAUGCAUUUUUUUAGUCAGAUUUUGUUGUUAGUAUUUCUUAGGCAAAUAUUUACCUGUAAAGUAAUAGAUUCUCCAUAUCGGGGACAAUUACAAUUUUUAUUUUAAGUAACUGAGUUUGAUUGUAACAUUGUACCCGAUUGCCAAAGCGUGCCGACAUUGUUUGAAUUCAAGAAUCAACAUUCGUUCCAUGUUUUCGGUUUAUAUUCCAGAUUUUGUUUUAAUUGCUUAUGCCUUAUCAUAUGCUUAAUUAUCUGAAUAUCAUGUUUGAUCCCGGAUCCAUGUCCGGCUAAACCAAUUGGUAUCGGUAUGUAAAGAUUGUCGAAACGAUGGGUUUCAUAAAUAAUUGGUGUUGACUUUUAUAAAAUAUUAUUUGUUCGGUUAUAGUUUCUUGUUCUAAAUUCAAAACUGUUUUUCGUACGAGAGUACAAAGUAAACAAAUGUUAUGGUCAAUAAAAACGAGAGCUUGAGAUUUUAAUCGGAUAGCUGAAACUAGGCAUAAUCCUAAAUACAGCGAGAGCGAUUUAGGAUUAAUUAGACUAUGUUUAUUUCUAAAAAUUAGUUUUAACUCAAAUGAGACAGCGAGAGCAAAGCAUUCCGGUUUAAGAGUAUGGUCAGAGUCAAUAAAAACGAGAGUGUGAGACAAAGUCUUUUAAAUAAAUAAUUUCUUCUGAAGAAUAUUUUGAUGUUUAAGAUUACACCAACUAUCUAUCGAAUCCCCGAAGUUUGAUGCGUUACAUACCAAUAUCCCGCUAUUAAAUAUUUUCAUUAAUAUUCUGUUUUCUUUAGUAGUUAUUUCUCUUCGUCCCUGAACUCCUAGAGAGAUCCUUAGCCUUAGAUUUACAUAGUAACAUUAGAUAACAGUAAGUUCGAUUAUUAGUCAUUUGGGUUCGAUAAUUUUUAAAACUACGCGAUACGACUGUGCACUUGCAGUCACAAAUCCUAUAGACAUAUCAACCAUACGCGAUCAGAAACAUAGAUCAAUUGAACCAUGUAUGCAACCUAAUGAAUUGCUCAGUUAAUUAUACUAAUUGGAUCUACAGAAGCCCUAAACUAAUGGAGCAUGCAUAAUAUGAAUAUUCUAAAUCCUAGGGGUAAAAUUGUCAAUAUGCACAAAUUGGUCAAUUAGGGAAAUAUUUCUAAAAAUCCAAAAAUCUAAUUAAAACACUAAUUAAACUUAAUUAUCUAAUUAUCCUAAAUAUUCCUAAUGAUACCUAAUUAUAUCCUAAUUGUUUUUAAUUAUUACAUGAUAGAAAAGAAAAUUAAGCUAACAAAUAUUAACAAGGGAUUAAUUGUUCAUAUGCACAAAAAUCAGAAACAGAAAAUUAAAUCAAAAUAAAUUAAACUUAAUUAAGAGAAAUUAAAAUAAACUAUUUGGAAUUAAAUUAAAUGAACAUUGAAGGGGAAGGUGCAUACAUUAAGCAUGGGUGCGCAUAAAAAAGAAACCUUUGAGCCUUAGGCCCAAACCAAGGUUGCAACGGUUGAAACAACAAGUCCAACAUGGAUGAAACUAAUGUCAAAAACGGACCAGGCUCAAAGCAUCAAUGCAACAACAUCGCAUUUUAAAGUUCACGUAUUCUCCUUUAGAAUCUGAACAAAAAAUGAGGAAGAAACUGGUCCAAAAUCACUUCCAUCACCGAAAUUUGAAUUAACACUCACCAUUCACGUUUAAACCAACUUCGUGCACUCGGAAUUGGAGAGAAACGAGAUCAAAAUCGAAGCGAGAAAACUAACCGAAUAGAAGUUUUGACGCAACCAGGUACUGAAUCCUUUCCUUUCUCUGAUUUGAUUUGCUUCUUCUUCUCAAAUUCUUCUGUGCUAUCGUGUACGUUGUUGAUAGAAGCUGAAACUAUUUGUGUAAUUGUUGUGUGAGAUUGAUAAUUGAGAAUUGCAGUGAGGUUAUAAAAAUUGGAGAGAUUCUUUGAGUUGAAGAGAGAUCGAGAGUGAAUAGUGAAAAAUGAUUUGUAUGUGUUGUGAUUUUGGAUGCUCUGUGAUUUUUGGAUUCGUUCUCUUGAAUGAGUGAAACGUGUUUUAUUUAUAGAGUUUAUUUUUAGUUAUCAAAUGCAAAUGUAAUGUUAUAAUUUAUUAAAUACAAGUGUGUUCCAAAAUGACAAAUGGUGGAAAUGAGUUAAUGCUAAUAAAUACAUGAGAUAACUCUUCAUGAAUUUUGAAUUUUGAAUUUUGAAUUUUGAAUUCGGAGAUUGUAACUCUUCAUGAGAUGUUGCAAAGGCGAAACCAUGCAACUGUUGGUGAAACAUGCUGCAAGCCAACCAUUAUGAUUAUUGGAAAAGGACAUUGCUUCACCAAGGGUCGCUACCUUAUGAAACAAUAUCAACAUGGCCUAUAAAAGCAUAAAUCCGGAUUCAGAAUAAAAGACACAAAAUCCGAAAAUCCUCUAAAUAAUUCCAGACGCUCUUCGCUGCAUUCGGGUUUUCACCGGUCUUGCGCAAACUCGAUAAGGCAGAAUUAUCCUGGGUAUUCCUACAUCAGAACUCUAAGACAAUUGAGAGUGCUUGAAAUACUAUAAGGAAAGUGUUGCGUUCACGAUUCAAGCCUGAAUCCCUUUAAUCUUUACGAAAUUUCUACCAGUCUUAUAGUAUCUCAAAUCAUGGCCACCGACGCUUUUGUUUCAAGCAUCAAACUGAUGAAUCAGGACCUUGUUAAGUUAGAUCGUUUCGAUGGAACAAACUAUACCCGCUAGCAAGACAAAAUGACAUUUCUCCUGACCGCCCUGAAAAUUCAAUAUGUCUUGGAUCCUGAUCUGGAGGCAAUUCCAGAACCAACAGAGAAUGACACUGAUGAAGUAAAAAAGGAGAGAAGGAAACGAAAAGAAGAUGAAUUGCUUUAUCGUGGACACAUCUUGAACACAUUAUCUGAUCGUCUCUAUAAUCUCUACAUCAAUAUUGCAUCCGCAAAGAAAAUCUGGAACGCACUCGAAGUCAAAUUCAAGGCCGAAGAAGAAGGUACGAAAAAGUUUUUAAUAUCUAAAUACUUUGAUUUUAAGAUGUUAGAUUCCAAGCCGAUUCUUGCACAAGUACACGAGUUACAGAUUCUCGUGAAUAAAAUAAAAGUCAUGAAAAUUGACAUUCCUGAAGCAUUCCAAGUCGGUGCAAUAAUAGCAAAAUUGCCACCUUCGUGGAAAGGAUACAGAAAGAAAUUGCUGCAUAGUUUUGAGGAUUUUUCUUUGGAGAAACUUCAGAAACACCUUCGUAUCGAGGAGGAAACGAAGGAUCGAGAAAAAACCGAGUCUGCUGGAUUUGCUAAAGCAAAUGUUGUUGCCGCUAAAGGAAAUAAAAAAUAUGAUGGCAUGAAAAACCAUCUCGGCCCAAGGAAAGAACACAACAAGUUCAAAAAUUCUGGCGGACCAAAAGGUACUAAAAAUGGUUGUUAUGUAUGUGUCAAACCCAGACAUUAUGCUCGAGAUUGCAGGCACAAUAAGUCCAAAAAUGAGGUCAAUGAUGUUCAUGCCGAUGACGACAUAAUCGCUACGGUAAGCGAAAUUAUGGCAAUCAAAGGCAAAGUGCAAGGAUGGUGGUAUGACACAUGUGCAACUGUGCAUGUAUCUUAUGAUAAAACAGCAUUCAAAACCUAUACCGAAGUCAAUGAUGGACAAGAAGUGCAAAUGGGAAAUGAAGUGCGAUCUAAAGUCGUUGGAACAGGAUCCGUCGAACUCAACUUCACUUCCGGAAAGAAAGUCACUCUUGUUAAUGUGCUUCAUGUUCCUAAUAUGAAUAGAAACCUUGUUAGUGGGGACUUAUUGGGAAAACCGGGUAUUAAAUCUGUAUAUGAAUCGGGCAAAUUAAUAUUGACCCGUAAUGGUAUAUUUGUAGGAAAAGGAUAUUCCGCUGAAGGAAUGAUCAAACUUUGUACUACCGACAAUAUUAUUAAUGAAAUUUCUAAUUCUGCUUAUAUGCUUGAAUCUAUUUCCUUAUGGCACUCUAGAUUGGCACAUAUUGGUAUUAGUACUAUGAAUAGACUAAUUAAAUCCGGUUUGAUAUCAUGCAACAUUCAUGAUUUCGGAAAAUGUGAAAUAUGUGUUAAAUCAAAAAUGAUAAAGAAACCUUUCAAAAGUGUUGAAAGAAAAACAAACGUGCUAGAUCUUGUGCACUCUGAUUUGUGUGAAUUUAAUGGUAUGUUGACCCGUGGGGGAAACCGUUAUUUUAUAACGUUUAUCGAUGAUUGCUCUAGGUUCACACAUGUAUAUCUCUUAAAGCAUAAAGAUGAUGCUUUUAAUGCCUUUAAGACAUAUAAAGCAGAAGUAGAAAAUCAAUUAAGUACAACUAUAAAAGUACUUAGGAGCGAUAGAGGCGGAGAAUAUUUCUCAGCAGAAUUUGAUGCAUAUUGUGAAGAAUAUGGCAUCAUACACGAAUGUUCUGCGCCCCGCACACCACAACAAAAUGGCAUGGCCGAAAGAAAAAAUAGAACAUAUCAAGAGAUGAUAAAUGCUAUGUUAAUGCAUUCAGAAUUACCAUUUAAUUUAUGGGGUGAAACACUAUUGUCCGCAUGUCACAUAAUGAACAGGAUUCCUUUAAAAACAACUAGUAUUUCUCCAUAUGAGAAAUGGAAAGGAAGACCACCAAGUAUUGGUUAUUUCAGAGUGUGGGUGUGUGUGGCUUAUUACAAGAACAUGGAUCCCAAAAGGACAAAAUUGGGUCCUCGAGGAAUCAGAUGUGCCUUCAUAGGAUAUGCAUCAAAUAGCAAAGCAUACAGACUUCUAAAUCUAUAGUCUAAUGUAAUUGUUGAAUCCAGAGAUGUGGAAUUCUUUAAAAAUCUCAUCACAAAGGAUAAGGGACCUGAAAAUCCGACAAUUGAAGAAUCUCGUGACAAAGAUUCGACACGAAUUGUUGAAACACAAUCAGAACCAAGGAGAAGCAAAAGGGCACGAAAAACUAAGGAUCUAGGACCAGAUGAAAUCAAUUCCCAACUCAUUUACAAUCAGAACCAAGGAGAAGCAAAAGGGCACGAAAAACUAAGGAUCUAGGACCAGAUGAAAUCAAUUCCCAACUCAUUUCUCUUUAUUUAGUUGAAGGAAAUAGCAAGAAUGAUGUUCAUAAAAUUCUUAUUAUUCUUCAAGUAGAAGAUGAUCCUAAAACAUAUAAGGAAGUAGUGGCUUCUAGGGACGCUUCUUUUUGAAAAGAUGCUAUCCAAGAUGAAAUGGAUUCAAUUAUGUCAAAUCAUACUUGGGAACUAGUUGAUCUUCCGAAGGGAUCAAGACCCAUUGGAUGCAAGUGGGUGUUUAGAAAAAAGUAUCAUAGUAACGGUAUAUUAAACACCUACAAGGCUAGACUAGUAGCAAAAGGAUUUAGACAAAAGAAAGGUGUCGAUUAUUUUGACACAUAUGCACCGGUAACAAAAACUACGACAAUUAGAAUCCUGUUUGCACUAGCUUCCUUGAAUAACCUUAUUGUUCAUCAAAUGGAUGUUAAAACAGCAUUCCUAAACGGAGAUCUCGAUGAGAAGAUCUACAUGGAGCAACCAGAAGGCUUCAUGCUUCCUGGAAAUGAACAAAAGGUAUGCAAACUUGUUAAGUCUCUAUACGGUUUAAAACAGGCACCAAAACAAUGGCAUCAAAAAUUUGUCACCCCCAUAAUUUCAAAUGGGUUUGUUCCAAACUCUUGUGACAAAUGCUUGUACACAAAGGUGCACAGAAGUGUUGUGAUAUUUCUAUGUCUAUAUGUUGAUGACAUGUUGAUUAUCAGCAAUGAAAUGAAUGGAAUAUUAGAAACAAAGAAAUUUUUGACUUCCACAUUCAAGAUGAAAGAUCUUGGACUAGUUGACACUAUACUAGGGAUCAAAGUAAAACGAAAUAGUGGGGGUUAUGAACUUAAUCAAACACAUUAUAUUGAGAAAAUGUUGGAAAAGUUCAAACACCUAAACUUUAAGGAAGUAAACACUCCAUUCGAUCCUAGUGUCAAACUUCAAAAGAACAAUGGGAGAACCGUGGCACAACUGGAAUAUGCAAGUGCAAUUGGAUGUCUAAUGUACUUAAUGCAAUGCACCAGACCUGACAUAGCUUUUGCAGUUAGUAAGAUGAGUAGAUUUACUAGCAAUCCAAAUGAUGAACAUUGGAAGGCCAUAACUAGGAUUUUCGGAUAUUUGUUAAAGACCAAAAAUCUUGGCCUUCAUUAUGGUAAGUUUCCUGCCAUACUAGAAGGAUAUACCGACGCAAGUUGGAUAUCAAGUGUUGGAGAUUAUAAAUCUACAACUGGGUGGAUAUUCACAUUAGCUGGAGGUGCGAUUUCUUGGAAAAGCAAGAAACAAACAUGCAUUACUCUCUCAACCAUGGAAUCAGAGUUUGUGGCUCUUGCGUCUGCUGGACAAGAAGCAGAAUGGUUGAGGGACCUCUUAUUGGAGGUUCCGUUAGCUAAAGACAAUGUUUCAAAAGUAUUGAUACAUUGUGAUAGUCAAGCCACCCUGGCUAGAGCGUUCAGUGAAGUGUACAAUGGAAAGUCUAGACACAUAGGUCUUAGACACUCUCUCGUGAGAAAAAUGAUAAAGGAUGGGAUCAUUUCACUAACAUAUAUACAAACAAGCUAUAAUUUGGCUGAUCCAUUUACUAAACCACUGGCCAGAGAUUUAGUAAAGACUACCUCGAAAGGUAUGGGAUUAAAACUCCUUGAAUAAGGGUUCCGACAAUGAUAGCAACCCAAUCUGAAGUUAACACAUCUUAACCUAAGAUUCAAUGGGUAACAACAAGUCGUUGAUUCGGAAGGUUAUGCAACAUUCCGCGAUAAUGUUGACGAUUACAAACUGAGGGUUGAGUUUUCAAAGAAACUCUUAAUGAAGUUCUAUAUCAAGGAGGAUACGUAUCUGAAGAAAUAGAUACGAAUUGAACUUCACCUAUAUGAACUUCAAGAUGGUGUCGUCUUAAGGUGAGAGUUGGAGUUUCUCUCAUGAAAACAGGAAAAGCACAUGGCCAUAAAUAGUGCCAGGCGAGAUAUGUAGGCGAAGAACCUCUAAAAGUGUGUGUAUAGCAACGUCGGUCUGAUCACAUGGGAAAAUGGUUCAAAGCAUAACUACCUAACGUUCCGAUUAGGCUCUGUGUUGUCUUUACUAAGGUUAAGUUCAAAUCGAAAGAUACCUAACUGUAUUAACACUUUUUGCUUUCUAUAUUUUGGAAUUAGAUUUGUCAUUAUUAGAACAAGUGGGGGAUUGUUGUAAUUUAUUAAAUACAAGUGUGUUCCAAAAUGACAAAUGGUGGAAGUGAGUUAAUACUAAUAAAUGCAUGAGAUAACUCUUCAUGAAUUUUGAAUUUUGAAUUUUGAAUUCGGAGAUUGUAACUCUUCAUAAGAUGUUGCAAAGGCGAAACCAUGCAACUGUUGAUGAAACAUGCUGCAGGCCAACCAUUAUGAUUAUUGGAAAAGAACAUUACUUCACCAAGGGUCGCUACCUUGUGAAACAAUAUCAACAUGGCCUAUAAAAGCAUAAAUUCGGAUUCAGAAUAAAAGACACAAAAUCCGAAAAUCCUCUAAAUAAUUCCAGACGCUCUUCGCUGCAUUCAGGUUUUCGGCGGUCUUGCGCAAACUCGAUAAGGCUGAAUUAUCCUGGGUAUUCCUGCAUCAGAACUCUAAGACAAUCGAGAGUGCUUGAAAUACUAUAAGGAAAGUGUUGCGUUCACGAUUCAAGCCUGAAUCCCUAGCAAACUCGAUAAGGCUGAAUUAUCCUGGGUAUUCCUGCAUCAGAACUCUAAGACAAUCGAGAGUGCUUGAAAUACUAUAAGGAAAGUGUUGCGUUCACGAUUCAAGCCUGAAUCCCUUUAAUCUUUAUGAAAUUUCUACCAUGUAAUUCACUCGAGAUUCCCAUGAAAUACACCAGUUAGUUACAAAUGAAAAAUAAUAUGUUAGAGUUAGUUAGAGUGAGUGAAAAAUGAAUUUGUUGGUUUGAAAUUUGUUCUCUGCGUUGCGUUUGUGUGGACUUAUCGUGGAAUUCAAAUUCAAUGUUCUCAGAAUGAGAAUUGUGUAAGUUUUUUUAGUUUGUUAGUUGAAAUUUGGCUUGAAGUAACGUGAAUGGACGAACCUGUUAGUCGCUUGGCCCUGUUAUGAGUUGAAGUUGAAAUUGAAUUGUUUUAUUAAUUUGAUUUUUGAUUUUUGCAGGUUGUUAAUUGGAAUGGUUAAGUUAAUGAGUACUGAAAUUGUUUUGUAGGGCGUAAUGGAAAUUGGCUUGUGGAACUCAAUGGCUGCAUUUGGCAAUUAUCUUGAAGAGUGGAAUUUGGAAGGUGUUUGGAUGUUAUGCCAUGGAAUGCUAUGUUUGAAAUUGAGAUUGUAUUGGCUUGAACAUUGUAAUUGAAAUUGGUUUGCCAUUGUAAUUUUGGGUUGAAAUAUGGUUUGUGGUUGUAAUUUGUACAUGGGUUUGUGAAAUUGAAUGAUUAGUUCAUGUAUGGAAUUUGACAUGGUUGAAAUAUGAACGAAGGUGUAAAUUGGAUUGUGGUUUGAAGUUGAAUUUUGACAUGUUCAUGGUUGGUUUUGGAAAUUUGAUUGAGUGUUGUAAUGAAAAUUGGAUAUUGUAAUCAAGGUCUUCAUGAUGCACACCCUCUAAUCAAGGUCUCCAAACUAAGCAUGAAGCUCCAUAGUUAAUCUCCUAACACAUGGGCCCACAGUUAGGAUUUAGAUUAUCAAAUCAAUGCUCAAGAGUUAAUCACAACAUUCCGAAGGAACAAAACUAAUAAUUAGGGUUUUUAUGUCAUGAUGAAUGUUAUGAUGUGGUCUCCUUGAAUCCAUGACCCAAAGAUUAAGAAAUUAGGGAUUUUACCUAAUGAUUCCAUAUGAAAAGCCAUGCCACAUCCCUAGCGCUUGAUCCACAAACAAACCCUAGCUUAUGUUAGCCACAGAGCUUUGAAUUUAUGAUGGUUAUGAGAAGGUGUUAAUAUGAAUGCACGAUCCACAUGAAUGAGGCAUGAAUGAGUGAAAAUGAAUUUCAAGGCACAUGACAAAUUUUGGGAUAUGACAGACGGACCAUAACGUGGUGGACAUGCUCGUUUGCCACCCUUACUCAAAAUUGUUCUAAAUGUCACUUCUUGGUCUUGAAAGUCAAACCCUACUUUUCUCUCUCUUUUUCUUAUAAAGCUGUUGAAAAACGUGUCAGACAAAUAAAUACAACGCGGACACGUUACUUAUUAAUGUGGGCGCCUUUCGCCAUCAUUAAUUCAACGCGGGUGCGUUAGAGGCAACAUGGACGCGCUAUGAGCGCGUAAAAUCCAGAGGCUUCAACAUGUUUUUGAUAAAUCUCUUUCUUCAACCAAAAACCCUUUUUUCAACUUUUUUUAUUUAAAUGCUUUUAACUUUCAAUUCUUGUCAGAAUUCGAUAGUUCAUUUUCUUCUCAAGAGAUUUUUAUUUUACAAUAUAUAUAACAAACUUUUUUCCUUAAACUUUUAAUAAUAUAAUUUAAAUACAUCUUUUUUUUAGAGUAAUUACAAAUUUUCAACAAUAAACCUUUUAUAAAAACAAUUAGAAAGAGGAAUAUUAAUAUAAUUAAAUAUUAAUAAUGACAAUUUUACAACUUGUCACCAUUGAGAUUCGAAUGUCGAAUUAAAUAUCCCGAGGUUAAUAUAACAAUUAAUAUGUAGUAUUAAUAUUUACUAAUAAUUAGAUUAAGAUCCGUAUAAUAUUGAUUAUUUUUUAAAAAUAUUAUUGAAUUAUAUAGAUUGUAAUUUUGUUUAAUAUAAAAAGCAUUGUAAUUAAGACGGUAGAUGAAGAGGAUAAAAAAAGAGAGAACAAUUUUAUCUGAAAAAGAUAUGUUUGAAUUAUAGAAAUGAUAAAUAAGAUGCUGCUAUUUAAAAUUUUAAAAUUUUUAAAAAUGUUAAAUCUUCAUUAUUUUAUAGAGGAGAGAAAUUAUAUAAUCGAACGACUCAGAUUCUAUCUAACAAAUUAUCACGAUCAACAUUAAGAUGUAAGAUGAACCUCUUUAUUUUUUGAAGAAUUAUUUUUAAUUUUGCAUUUUAUUCUUUGCGACAAAUAAACACAUUUAAUAAAUACAAUUGUAUAUCAAAUAUUUAAAUGAUUAAAUUAUUAUUAAAUUCAGCUAAGAUGGUCUGAAUUACCUUAUUAAAACAUACAAUCUUUUAUCUUUUAAUCUAUGGCAAAUGUGUCUUCAACUGAAUUUUCUGAAAAUGAUAUUAAUUUUUAAGUAAUUCUUUCAUUAAUUUUAUAUAUAAUUUUUUUAAAUUGUUUAAUGUUCCAUACAUAUUUUUAUUAUUUAAUGUAAAUCUUUUAAACUUUGACUUUUUUUUCUUACUUUAUAUAUUAUUUGUAUUAUUUGUUUUUUGAAAUAAAACUUAUAUUAUAUUGAGUUAAACUAUUGACUAUGUUGAGUAAACUGGAGCAUCAAUUUUAGUAUAAAAAUAUUUGACUUUUUAGAUUAAUUAAAGAAGUAAUUUAUCUAAUUUAUAUAGAGAUUAAUUACUAUACAAUGUCAGUGUAAAAAAUUUUACACCGUCGGUUCAUCACCAUCACCCGUUUGUAUUACUUUAUAGAUUUUUAAAAUAAAAGUCAAACUUCUUUUAAUAUCCAACGUCUAUAAUUAAGUGAGGGUGAAAACCCUUUUACACUGACAGUGUAUUUCAAUUAAUCUCAUUUAUAUAUAUGUUAGAUAUAUUAAUUAUUCAAUAAAUUUAAAAAAUUAAAUUUAUAUAUAAAAAAAUAGAUCAAAAUAGAUUAUUUAAUUAAAUUUAUAUAAUUACUUUUCUAUAUAGUUCUGUGAUUAAAAAAAUUAUUAUAAAUUAUUAUGUAUAAAUUUUGACAAUACAUUUUAAUAAUCUAUCUCUUUUUAAUUGUUAUUUGUUAUUCUUAUUUUAUGAGUUUUGUUUCUAUCACUCACACCUUCUUCUUUUAUAAUUAUUUAUAGAGUUUAAUGAGUAUACACUCAAAAUAUAAAAUAAUAUUACUAUCAUCUAAUAGGAAUUCAAACCAUUAAUUUAAAAAUUAUUGUAUAAUGUGGCGAGAUACAUGAUAGAUAAUGUAAAAUUAUUUUACACUAUCAAUGUAUAUCUUAUUUCCUUUUAUUUAUAAUAUUUAUAUUGCUUAAAUUUUUUCAAUAAAUUAUUAAAAUAGAAUUUUAAUAAAACAAGUUCAACGUAUUGGUAUUAUGACUAUUUUCUAAUGAAAUUUAAUACUUUUAUUGCUCUCCCCAAUAACUCUUCACAAAUGUGCAAUUUUAUAUGAAUAUUUUCGGUCAAAUUUUUGCCACAAAAUAUGUAUUUUUACUCAUAAUUCUCUAAUAAACUUUUAGCCUAUAAAAAUAUUUUUCAAUAUAUUUUUAAUGCAUUAUCUUAGAGGUUAUUAGACAAACACUCCAAUUUUUUGAAAGAAUAUUAUCUAUAAAUUCAAUAAAAACAAAUGUGUGCUAUAAAUAAAGCUCUAAUGCAAACCUUUUGCGUAGUUAGUGUUCUGCAAAGUCUGAAAAAUCACAAAGUUGUGAAUUUUAGUUGAGUUUGAGAAGAGUGAUGGCUCCUAGUCAAAUUAAAAAAUAUAUUGUGAUGAUCUUGUUGAUAACAUUAGUUAUAAUACAAGUGGAAUGCCUCACUCCAUCUCGAGAAUUUAAGUUAAACAAAUUCAAAGUGCCAUUAUGUGAAAUAAUGUGUAACAUUGAGUGUUCAAAGGGCCAAAUUGAUGAUUUUAAAGCAUGCGUGGAAGAUUGUAAAAAAACUAAAUGUUAACAACAACAUUGACAUAUCAUUGGUAUGAUUCUUAUCAUAAACAACGUUAUUGAUUUAUGCACUUUAUAUUUUAUUUACUUUUCUUCUUAACAAAACAAAGUACAUAUAAAAUUGUUUUUUAUUUUGUAGGUCUUCGUGCAUGCAAUGCAUACAUACAUUGCUUCAACCUUGAAAUUUUAAAUAAAUACUCCGUAUGCUCUACGAGAUUCAAUGUAAUAAAAUGUAAUCAUAAAGUUGACAUUAUGUCAAAUUUAAUAAAUAUGUUAUCAUUCAAAAUGUUUAUUUUAUAUUUUUAUAAUCAUUUUUUUUUGUUACUUUUUAUUUAUUUUCUAUUAUGGUUGUUUUUUUAAUAAAUAGUAGAUGGUACUAUAAGCAAUAAAUAAUGACCAAUGUUUACUUUAAUUAUUAUUUUAUAUAUUUCAUAGGAAAUUAUAAAUACAUAUUACAUCAGUUAUUCAUUUAAUUUUUUUUGUGUAUAAUAUAAAAAAGGCUUAAAUAUAGACACUCUUGCAAUAUUAACGAAAUUCACAAAUGAUCCCUUUAAAAUAUUAAAAUUAUGUAUUUUUUGUUCCAUAAACAUAAAAAUUAUCCCAUGUAAUAUAUAUAUAUAUAAUAUAUAUAUAUUUCUUUAUCCCUCCUGAUUGAAUGUUCAAAUUACACCCUUAUAGAGAAAAUAAAAAAUUUACAAGAAGAAUAAAAAAAAAUAUAUUACAUAGAUAAAUUGAAACUCACGUAUAUUACAUUAGUGUCGUAUAUUUAAUUCUAUAAAAAAAUUAAAUGUCAAUCUCAAAGAAUUUUUGUAAUCAUAUUUCAUUAUUUUUACCUAUUAAAUUAUUUUUGUAAUUCUCCACAAUUGCUAAUAGAUAAUCAAAAGUUUGAGUUUGUCCAAUUUGUCUUAAUUAUUUUCUAUUAUUAUUGUUGAAUAUUUAAAAAGAAAUAGUUUUGGAAUAUACUUUUUCAUUUUUGUUCACUGUAUUAGCGAGUUUAUCAAUAUAUAAUAUUACAAAAGUUGAAUAAUAGUUUAAAUAAAUAUAAUAAAUUAAUAAAACUUAAUAACUAUAAAUUAGAAAAAAUAUAUUAUUUGAGAUUCUUAAUGUGAAAUUAUAAUAAUUUAUAUCUGAUAUUUAUUUAAUUUAAGGGUUAAAUUAUAAGGUCUAAAUUAAAUAAAUAAAAAUCCGUAUUACAAUUUUAUUACUAAAUUUCUAACUUAAAAAUUUAUAUCUUGUUAUUUAUUUAAUUUUAAGAUGAAUAUUAAAACAAAUCCCUCCUUAAAUAUUAAUCUACAAUUUGAAUACAGUUUCUUUUGAAGCAAUUUUAUUUUUAAUACCUUAGCAGAUAAAAAUGAAUACUAAUUUAUUCAUAUAAAUCCAAACAAAUAUCAAAUAAUAAUUUAAUAAGUACCUUUUAUAUGUUCUUAAUAUCACAAUUUUAUAAUUAUAAUCAUGUUACGUUUUUGAAAAGGGAUGCGUAAUUUGUUUAAAUAUAAGAUAUAUCCAGUAUUUUAUUUUAAAAAUUGUAGUUUUGUACAAUCUAGUUAUAUACAUCUAUGACAAUAAUUUUUUACGGUUAUAAAAUAUUCGCUAGAUGCCAAUUUUUAAUGGGUUAAAAUUUUCAUAUCUAAUGUUUCUGCAAGGGAUAAAAAAUUAUACAAAUUUGAUUUCUAUAUUUAUAUUAGAGUUUAAUUGAAAUACACUGACAGUGUAAAAGAAUUUUACACCGUCAAUUAAUCAUAGAUGUCGGAUAUUAAAAGAAAUUUGACUUUUAUUUUAAAAAUCUAUAAAGUAAUACAAACGGAUGAUGGUGAUUAAUCGACGGUGCAAAAGUUUUUACACUGACAGUGUAUAAUAAUUAAUCUCUUUAUAUUAUGAAAAUUGUUUUCAAGUAAUUUUAAGUCAUCUUUUAUCAAUAAUUUCUAAGCAUGUUAUAUAAUAAUUGCUAAUUUUAACAUCGCCACUAAAUCUCUUUUUUUUUCAGUUUAAUCUUUUUUUUAAUUUAUCUCUUUUGAGUGAGUCUUGACUUACUCUCUAGCCUUUUUUAAAUAAAAAAUUAAGAUCAUGAAAAUGAAAAAGUGUAAUGCCCCAUGUCAUCUUUACACAAUGCAUUGCCACAUGAUAAUAUGAUUAUUAAACUUAAUAUUCUAUGAAGUUAUGCCAUGAUUAUUAAUGUUAGACUUAAUAUUCUAUGAAGUUAGUGGCACGAGGGACACAAUUUGAAAUUUAGAAGAAUUUUGGGAAAUUUUUGUCUUUGGCAUGAGUGAGGGAGGAAGGGAGGGGGGAGAGAGAUGAUCAAUCAUUGCUUAUGGAAGAAUUAAUCAUUGAAGAAGAAGAAAUGAGGACUCAAAGGCUUAUUAAAGCGUCUUCAUCAAACUCAUCUUCCUUCAAAUUCAGAAUUUGGCCUAGAUGUGAGAUUCUUGUAGGUUGUGAUUUUUGAUCGUGAACUUAGGUUGGAUGUAUGUGGGAUCUUUGGGCAGAAUCUGAUAUGUUUUCUUAAAACUAGGUGUUUUGAUUGUUGAUACCAUGUCCUUUCAUGAAGAAUAUAUAUUAUUUUUUAAUCUUAAGUGCUAAAAUGCAGGUUUUAAGCAUUUUUGGGAAAAUUACGGUCGUAACGUGCUGUCACGGCCAACCCGUAACACUUCCUUCUCAAAUAAUCAGAAAAAUCUUGAAGUCGUUACGACCGUAAUGCAUUAUUAUGACAAACCUAUAUUACCAACUGCCUAAAAAUAUGGAUAACUUGUAAUCGGCAUAUCAAAAGCAACAAAACUUUAAUUUAGGCAAGAUCAGUUACGUUAGAAAGCUAACACAAAGAGCUAUUUUAUAGGAAAGCUUUUAGGAUCAUUAAUGUUGUUCCUUUGAUUAGUUGUUAUAGGUAAAACAACAUGGACAAUACAAGAUGUAACUUGUGAAGAGACAUCAUGUGAGAUAAGAUGUUCCAGCAUGAGCGCAUCAUUUGGCCUUAGUCUAUAAGUCAGGCUUCAUGAGUAAAUUUGAGCAUUAUUAUGGUUGAUCCCAGGGGUUAUUACAAAGAGUUGGUUUAGGUUUGUUUAGUGUUCAAGUUCAAGUUUAUGCUAAAGUUGCUUUACAAAAAUAUUUGGUUGUAAGAAACUUGUUAGGAAAGAUGUCUGGAACAUGUUAUGUGAUAUCUAGGUGCACGUACUGCAUAUGCUUUAUCACAUGAUCGCCUCAGCAUUUGGUUAGAAAACCUUUACUAAUCAAAGAUUUAUUUGAAUAUGCUUUGAAGGAAUAUAUGGUUCAAAUUUAUCAUAUCCAAUACUGUUUUGAAAUUGAUAUGUAGAGAUAUUGAUUGAAGAUUCCAUUAAGAGAUCUUAUUGGAUUUGCUUUAAUUACAAGAUUUAUAUUUUCACUUAAUGAGAAAAUCUUAAUCUCUAUUAAAGAUGAUUUAAAGUGUGGUUCAAUUUUUUAAGAGUUUGCAUUCUAAAUCCUUUACUUGAAGAGGUUAGAAUUGUGAUUUAUAUAAAGUAGAUAUUUUAUUUUAUUUGUUCAAGAUUAAUGAUUUUGUGACGUAGACAGAUGUCAAGCUAAAUGUUCCAUGAUCUAUGAGACAUAUUGUCUCGGAUUGGUUUCUUGUAGAGCAAGAUAAAUUGAGAUAUAAUCUGAAUCAAAUACAAUAAGAAUAAUCAAGAGAUUCAGAUUUAUUCAAGGUGACCAAUCAAGAUUGGAAAUUAUCAUUAUUGAAGAUUGAUCUCGUGUGAUUUUUAGAAAUCCAACCGAAUUCAUGACCUAAACCCUCGUGGGCUUUUGGAGUUGGACUUUUGUGGCUAUAGGAGUUCAUCUCCUUUGUGAAGACUCAGAACUUUGGAGAAAAAAUAUACUAUAUAAAAGAGUUUUAGUUAAGUCUUGUCUUUGAGUUUUUAUUGUAAUACUUUAUUCCUAGAUACUAAUUCUAUAAGCUUGAGAUCACGUGCUUGAAAUCAAGGUUUCAUACAGUCACACCUUAAGCCCUAAUUUCAUCUAUAAACCUCAUUAAACUUCACUCAUUAACAUACACUACGAGCCUAUUAGAAAGCCUAUAAUUACACACUAAAAAAGAAUCAAAAUCCACAACCUCCAUUUAACUUCAAGCCUCCUUUAAAGCUCUAUUAAUGAGCAAUCUUAGCUUCUUAUUGAAACUUUAAUUGAUUUGAGCUAAGCUACCUCAAUUGAUCCUUAUCCUUAAUCAUAAACGGUAACAAUGAAAUUUCAAGAAAAUAAAGCUUAAUAAGAAAAGUAGCAUAAAAGUAUAAGAGUAGAAAAAGAAAAGGAGCAGCAGAAAAAGGAAUAGAGGUUACCUAGAGAUUUGCCCUUGACCUGAAAACCUAUAUUCUUCGAUUUGGGUACCCCUGCUUCAAAUUUGCUUUUUUUUUGUUUAUGUUUCUGCAUACUCAUUUACUCGCCCCCCAUGUCAAUUUGCUUCGAUUACGCUUGAGUUGAUUGCUUGAGGGGUUUAGGGUUUUUUAGGGUUCAUACAUAUUUGUUUUGAUUUGGUAUAAUUUAUGUUUGAUUGUUUGUUUUCGGUCUUAUAUUCGUGUUCAGAAGAUGAUUUUAGGGGGGUUGGUGUUAAAAGGUUGCAAAUUUGAAGGGUUUUGGUUAAUUUAUGGAAAACACAUGAAAAACACUUAAAGUGUUCUUCAUUUUUACGUGUUUAAUAAAAAAAAGAUUGAAGGCAUGUGUUUUGUUGUUGUGUUUGUAAGAGAGUGAGUGAGAGAGAGAGAGAGAGAGAGAGAGAGAGAGAGAGAGAGAGAGAAAGAGGGAGAAUAAAAGAAAGAGAAAUGUGGUUGGGAAAAAUGGAAAGAGUGAGUGAGAGAGAGAGAGAGAGAGAGAGAGAGAGAGAGAGAGAGAGAGAAAGAGGGAGAAUAAAAGAAAGAGAAAUGUGGUUGGGAAAAAUGGAAGAGGGACUGAUCAUCCCCUCUUUUUGAUUAAAUCUUCUUUCUCUCUCUCUCUCUCUUAACUGCUUAUGUGGCACGCCCUUAGAGGUCCGAUUGGUUGAUCUAUGCAUUGACUUGGAGCCCCUGUACGAGGAUCCCCAUCCUAUAUAUAUGAUGCAUUAUUGCUUCCAUCCAUAUGAUUUUGCUAACUCCCUUUGGUAUGGUGAUCUAGCCCAUUUAAUAUUUCGGAUCUACAUCCCUUGGAUCGAUAUGAUGGCCAUGUUUUAACUUAGUUUUUUUCUUAUUUUUUGUGAAGAUUUAGGCCAACGGGACUUGGCCCGAAGUCGUUUUACUACCCACACACCUUUCUUUCCAUUAAACACACCCCCUGGUUCCUUGCUUCAGCUGGUCUUGAGCAUCCCUUACUUGGGCCCAAGUGUGUUACUCGCUAACACACCCCACUUAUCUUUUACACACUCUUUUGUCUUUUAUUUAAUUUUUUUUUGUUCCUUUUGUGUUUGGCCAAACCUAUAUUUGUUUUUUACUUCCACACCCAUAUUUUAAUUUCUUGCACCUCAUGAAUAUUGCAUGCUAUUAUUUUAUUUGUGUUUUUAUUUAUCAAUUUGAUUUAGUUAUUUAUCUUGAUAAUAUGAGAAUUGAUAAAUCUUAUAAAAACACAAGUAAUUUCAAGUAAUUAAUAAAAAUCAAUCCUUUUUUUAUAAUAAUCAAUCAAAAGAACUUGAUCAACAUCGGGUAAUUUCCAAAAUAUUUCACCAAUGCUUCACUUCACUUUCACAACCAUUUCAUUUUUAAAUCAAAAGUCGUUUCAUAACCAAAUCAAUUUCAUACCACACGAAUAAAAAACACUUGAUCAACAUCAAGUCCAUUUCAAAUCAAACCAAAGCCAUUUAACUUACUUAUUUCAAAUAUUUUCAUAACAAUCAGAUUAAAAAGGACUAGUUGGACGUAGUAUCAAAUCCUAGUCUCGAAUACUUGGGUACUAGCCAUACUUAGCUUGCCCGCUCGAGUAUUUGUCUUCCGCUUAAAAUUCAUCUAAUCGUUUCAUACCUUUCGCAAUUAAAUUGAAUUAAAGAGGACUAGUUGGAUGUCAUAUCCAAUCUUAGUCUCAAAUACUUAAGUAUAAGUCGUAAUUAGCUUGUCCGUUUGAGUAUUUGUCUUCCGUUUAAAUUUAAUUAAACGUGCUUCAAAUGUUUUCAUAAAAAAUGGAUUAAAAAAGACUAGUUUGACGUAAUAUCCAAUACUAGUCUUGAAUACUCGAGUACAAGUUGUAAUUAACUUGCCCGCUCGAGUAUUUGUCUUCCACCUAAUAACGAUCCAACCAAUCAAACUCAUUUUUUCGCUUUAGCGUGACCGAAAACCUUUCAUAAACAAACUAUGUUUUAUCCGUUCCGAGGUAAAGUAUGGACUAACGCUUCAUUCCCCCUAUGCGCGAGAAGCAAGCAAUAUUUUCGCUCAAAUGAAAUUAAAACAUGAAUAUGAUGGAUUCCCAUGACAUGUAUUAUCCAUUCUGACGCGAUGCUUAAAUAAACGUUCAUUUUCCCAUGUGUGGGUAGCAAUCAACGUGUUAUAGCUCGAACACGACUCUAAUAUUGUUCGCUAAAAUUGACCAACACACAAACAUUUGCUAUCCAUGAAUACAUAGGCCUUGAGUUCCCCAUCGCACAUAGGGAUUCGUAAAAGUGAAAUUCAACAUCUCGUCAGACACUCUAAUAAAAAAACCCCAUUUUAAAGCCAAUUAGUAAAUAAGAAAUAAUGCAAACAUUUUUAAGCUACCAUUUAACACAAAAAUAACUAGAUGGUUCAGUUGGGUACACCAGAUACAAGGGGUGUUAAUACCUUCUCAUUGCAUAACCGACUCUCGAACCUGAUUUAGUUGUGACGACUCUUUCUUUUUCUUCUAGGGUUUUAUCGAUAUUUCCCUUUCAUUUUUAGAAUAAAUAAACUUCGGUGGCAACUCUGUUUGUAUUUCGGGAGUUUUGUUGCGCCCGAGACAUUUUUUGCACCGCGACAGCUAUCGCCUGGUGAGCUCGCACAGUCAUGUAGGCGUUUUACACUUGUGGAUACUCACAUGCGUAUUGAUGAAUGAUGGACUCGUGUUGCCACAUAAGCAAUCAUAAUUGGUUACUCAUCACUGAUGGGAUCAUGUAUCCACUUAGGCGUAAAUCACUUGGUUACUCAUCUGAAUCAUCGUGCGGUGAGCUUGUGCAAGUCUCUUGACGCUAGACACUUCGUUACUCAUCGAGGGUGUGCUUGCGUUGCCUAGUAAGAGGCGUACACUGCUUCAGGAUUUUCUCGUACGUGGGUACGAGUAUGCAUAUGUGUUGUACUAACUUUGUUAUGAGUUGGUGAUUCUGGAAUUGGAUAGUCAAGGGUCUUUCAAUUGAUGUUAUGUGAUAUUUGUGCAUUCUUGAAAUGGUAAGUAAGGAAACCUAGAUCGGUGGUUGAACCGUAUAUGAUUAUGCACCAUGUAGAGUCGAGUGGAUCCGUAAGACAGGGGCCUCACUGAGAUUUAGUAAUCUCACCCCAAUAUUCUUAAUCUUUUUUAGGUUGCUCGAGGCAGGACAAAGACAAGGGAAAUAUGUCUUAGCCACCUUGAAGACGUUUAUAUGGCAUAUCAUCCGUUAUGUUUUGUGCUCCUUAGCUUUGUUCUAAUGAAUUUUAUGUACUAGUACCCUCGACGUUGUAUUUUGGCCAUGAUUCAUUCGACUUUUAUUUCUUAUACUAAUACUCAUUUUAAUUCCGCUGCUUAUGUAUGAUUUUUAUGUAUCACAUUUAUAACACCACUACAUAUUAUUCUAAACAUGGAUAUAUGAGGUGUUACACCAAUGUGGCAUCUUACUAAUUUUAAUGUAUACUAAUAAAAAUAAUAAUGGGAAAACGUAUGUCAUUGGUGUAAAUAAGAUAAAAUAUAUAUUUACGGGAAUAGUGUACUAAUGGUGAAAAUAAGAAUGAGUGUACUAAAGGUGAAAAUAAGAAUGAGUGUACUAAAGGUGAAAAUAAGAAUGAGUGUAUAUGAAUGAUUAAAAAAUAUUUAUACUUUAAAAAUUUGAUAUAAAAAUCAAAAGUAAUUUUAAAGAUGUAUAAUUAAUUUUAAUGCGUUUGAUUAUUUUUUAAAAUAGAUUUGACUAGAUUUCCUAAAAAAAAUAUUUUAAAUUCAAAUUUAUAUACGGUUACAAAUUUACUAUAUAUAAGUUUACUAUUGAUUCAAAUAUUUUUCAAUUUAUAAAAGUAUUAAAAUAAAAAAAAUAAAAAAAUAAAAUAAAGUUUAAGAAUUAGAAUUAAAAAAGCUAUUUUAUAAUAAAUUAUAAAUAAAUGAAUGAUUAAAAAAUAUAUAUACUUUAAAAGUUUGGUAAGUGUAUCUUUAGUUUUUAUUUAAAAAAAAUCAAGACUAAUUUUAAAGAUGAUAAUUUUUAUUAAUGUGUUUGAUUAUUUUUAAAAUAGAUUUGACUAAAUUAAAAAAAAAAUUAAAGUGUAUAUAUAUGAUUUUUUUUUAAAAUUAAAAUUUAUAUACGAAAAUAAAUUUAUUAUUGAUUCAAAUAUUUUUAUAAAUAAUGUUAAAACAAAAAUAAUAUUUAUAUAUAAAAAAAUAUAUUUUGUUGAUUAAAAUAUUUUUAUGUAACAAAAUAAUUAUAGACAAAUGCUUAUUAUCUUUUUUAAAAAUAAUAAUUUUUUUGAAUAAAUAAUUUAAUUUAUUUUUAUUAUAUUUUAUAAUAAAAUACACGUAACAUUCGAGUGCCGUAGACUUGAAUAUUUUACUAAUAGUUAAUUAAAUAAUCAUUGACUUAGUUAAAAUUUGAUGUCAAAAUAAAUUUGGAUAGCUGAUGUCAUAUUAUAUAUAUAUAUAUAUAAAUAAAGAUGUUAUUAGCAAAACAUAUAUAUUUUGCAAAAUGUUCAUUUUUUGAGGGACGAUAUUAUAGAGAAAAAAAAUCAUAGAGAAAAACAUGUCUUUACGCUUCAUCAUCUGUUAAAUACAAAGCUCUUAAAACCAAUUUUUUUUUUUUUAUCUAAGAGUGCUUAAAAUUCUCAACCGAAAGUGAAACCCUAAAUCAAAAACCCUUUCGGAUUUUCCCUCAAUCGAAUUGAUUUUCCUCUCGAAAACCCUAGUUCCUCGUUCAUCAUUCUAGAAGAUGGACAUCGAACAGAGCCAAUCGGAUCUCAUCGAUCACUUCGUCAAGCAAGCCUCUGCUGCAUCAAACGCUCCCGCGCUCUCUUCCGUCAUUGUCGAUGCAACUUCUCACCCUUUGCUCUUUGCCUUCUCUGAGAUUCUCGCUCUCCCCAAUGUUCUUCAGGUUUUACCCAAUCUCUCUCUGUCUUUCAUUAUUUUCCGUUGUUUUUGUUGUUUAUUUUUGAUAUAGAAUGAUUUGUUCAUAAGUGUUCUGUUAAUCAAUUGCAAAGAUGUUUUCGUAUUUUCUGUUUAUUAAUAUAAAUUGUUUCACGUUUUUUGUGUUUGCUGUGAUUAUGAACGAGUGAGGUACUGUGGAACCCUAUCGUAUAUGUCGGCUAAUUUUUUUCAAUGACUUUUUUUGGUAUUAUACUUUAUGGUGCAUUAUAUUGCUAAGUGGCUUUCUGAUGUUAUAAUGAAUUUUGAGGUAGCAUUGGAACUUCUAAGUAACUUGAGGAGUAUAUUUUUUUGUCAAUAAAUUUGCAACAAAUGACGAUUUGGAUAGAAGCAUGGGAAUGGGUAGAACAAUAUGGGGAAGUUGAUCCAUGUAGCCGCCGCCUAGUGGGAUUUGGCAUGGUUGUUGUUGUAAAUGUAAAUUUGCAAUAGAUGCCGAUGUGUGUGUCCUAAAAUUUUUUUGACUCUAAUUCUUUUGCAGCUUGAAGCAACUGAUAAGAAGUUAUACCUUGAUAUGCUUAGGCUGUUUGCACAUGGAAUAUGGAGUGACUACAAGAGUAAGUAUAUUGAUUGAUAUUUCUGUUUAUCUUUCUCUCCAUGCACGUUUGUGUGGUGGGUGUUUUCUGGCAUUCGCUGAUGUUUUUCCUCUUCCAUUGUUACCUUAAACAAAUUUUCUAGGAACUGUUCUUUACAGUACCAUGACACGUGAUUUGUGAUUUUCAAAUUUAUUAUUAUUUCGUUGUCGGGGUAUUAAUGUCUUGAGAUAUUAAGUUGUAACUUUUGUAAAGACUGCCAUAGCAGGGGGGUGUAUAAUUAAUAAAUAGGUAACUAUGUUUAUACUUAUUUCAUAAAAAAGUUGUGGUUAGUAUUUCAGACUUACUGCACAUACAGACUUUUGUAUGCAUACCAGCAGGAGCAUAUUUUUUUCAUUUGGAAUUGCUUAAUUUCCUGUCCCACUAUUUUGAAAAUCACUACGUGUGUCUUGAGAUUAAAUAAUUUACCGCUUUAUUUUAUGCUUUGUAAAUAUCAGUAGUGAGAUCUGUACAUUCAUCUUCAUUCAUGAUUCCUAUUUCUUUUACCAUUUAUGUGAAAAUGCAAAAAAUUUAACGGUGUUCAUUAAAUUUUUUGAAUGGCUUAUAGGUAAUGCUGACCGUCUUCCACAAUUGACACCUGAUCAGAUCCUAAAGCUUAAGCAACUUACGGUUCUUACACUCGCUGAGACAUACAAGGUAUUGCCUAUCAAUUCAUAGUUGGUGGCUACACUUUGUGGUUGAGUUCUGUUCAUGGUCUCUGCGAUAUUUUGUUCAGGACUGUUUUGAUUUUGUAUUGGACUGUUUCAUCUUAUUCAUCAUUUUAAAUUGCAUUUUUACCUUCAAUGUAAUUAUUUAGAAGAUAAUUUGAUUUAUUAACAUUCUGUGUUUUUAAUUUGAAUUUUGUUACUGCCAUAUGAUUUUACAAUUCUAUAUUUACAACUUCAACUGUUUUUCAGGUAUUACCCUAUGACCAAUUGAUGCAGGAGCUCGAUGUGACAAAUGUUCGCGAGCUUGAAGAUUUUCUGAUUAAUGAGUGCAUGUAUGCGGUAAGAACCAUUUUCUUUUGAUCCUUGCAUGCUGCAAACAUUCUCAUGCGAGGCAUUAGCGUGUCAGUGUGAUCCUUGCAUGCCGUGAGGCAGCAACCCUGAGUGAUUAUGGUUUUACCCCCAUGUUUUGUGUGAGACCUGAGUAACUUAUGAAUUAUGAUGAUGAUUUAAAUUUGGUGUUAUGAUUUUCUCUUUUGGAAUUAUUUAGUUGUUUAUGUAUAUGUCUUUUGUAUGACUUUUAUGUUAUGAAUUAGAGAUGCGGUCUGCAGAGCUUCGGAAAUCUCUUUGCCAGAGGCCUCAACAAGUGUUUUUAAAUACUGGUAUUCUGUAAUGAAUUUAAACAAACCACUAUUUUUUCAUGAUACAUGAUUUAGUACAAUGUAUAGCCAAAUAGAGGCUAUAAUAACACUAUAGAUUAGCUGAAUUAUAAAAACCGAUAUUUUCUAUGAUCUGCGACUUGACAAUACCGCCCUCAACACACUCUAAAUACCCCUCACUCUCAACCCCUCUUAUUCAUAUCGCCUAACAUAUCUUUUUAUAAAAAAAUGAUGGAGGAGGAAUAUUAAAUACGGGAAGGGUGGGAGACAUUCCCCAAGCUUCAACAUACUCUCAAAUGACAAGAUAGCUCUCCAUAAUUCUCAACCUCUCUUAUUCAUAAUUAACACAUGAUUUCUUCUAACUUUC
rnacentral:lncRNA from 1 species